rnacentral:lncRNA from 1 species
ACAAGUUCAUAUAACACACUAAACAAUACAAACACAACCACACUAGAAAAAUAACACAUUAUUACAUAGCAUCAAUUUCAUCAAACAGUUGGUGUGCAACAAUUCAUCGCCAUUUCUUCAUCUUCAUUCUCACUCCAAGACCCAAACAGAAUCGAUCUAGGGGACCCACAACUUCCCCCUUGACUUUCCUUAACAAACCCAUAAUACAUCAUCACACCACCAUUUCCAAGAUCUUCAAAGCUCGAUUCUUUAACACCAUAACCCUCAAUCUUCAAAUCAUUAAAACCCUUCAACUCAUUUCCAUGCAUCGAUAUAGAAAACUCAUUGGGUUUGAAACAUCCCAACACCCUUUCAACCAGAAGAGUCAAAUCAAUAGAGGAUUUAAAGUCAUACCCUACAGCUUCAAAGCUAGCAUAACUAAAUCCAUCUUCAGGUGUCACAUGUAUGGUGGAAAUCGCAUCUUCUUCAAUACCAUUCAUGGAGUAUCCACAUGGGUCGAACUCAAAAUCGCAAAUUUUUGACCCGGGUAGAAUCUUUUUAAUACCCGAAACUUCAGUCAUAGAAGAAGAAGAAGAAGAAAUAGUUUGAUUCUUGAAGAAUACUGAAGAGCUUUUCUUGGAUAAAUCCGUCAUACACAUUUCGAGUGUGUAAACUUUUUGGUCAACGGGUUGACUUGGAGUUGAAGCAGAAUAGACAUGCCAUUUUUUAGUGUUUUGACUAUUGUGGACAUCACCCAUGACGUAUGCUUUGCUAUCCAAUCCAAGAUUACGAAAAUACCCAUCGAGGGUGAGUACUUCUUCGUUGAAGCUACGAUGUGGGAAGGGUUGUGAAUUAGGGAAUAUGAAGGUGCCACGUGUGUAGCGUACGGAUUUGACAGUGAGGGCAAGAUGGGAAGAAAGAAGGAGGAUUUGUGGGAUUGAAAGGAGGAGCUUUGUGGUGCCACAUGUUUUGAUUAUGAUCUUGUAUGGGUAUAUGAAGAGGCUGGAUUCUGAAAGAACGUAUGAAUCUAAUGAAUCGUUUGAUAGAGAUGAAACGAUUGUGCAUUGAGCAGGGGAUAAGAUUGAGUCGAGUUGGGUUUUGGUUAAGGAACGGAGUCCGAGGCCUUUUGGGUCUGCGAAGAGGCCAGGGGUAGAAAAGGAAAUUUCAAGCCUCUUUUCGUAGCCUUCGAAUCCAAUGGCGGAUUGUUGGAUUUGGAUUGUCAUUUUGGUUUAAAGAGAUUUUUUUUAUUUUUGCUAAAAAGUAGAUUGAUAAAGGGAAAAACUCGAGAAACGGAAAAGGAAAGGUUGUGUAGCGCAGAUUAGAGAGAAUCAGGAUGGUUUCCGAGCACACUGGAAGAUAAAACAUAAGAAGAAGAAGAAAGAUGGUAAGAUAUUGGAAGUGAUGAUUGAAUUUCAUGGAAAAAAGUAUGAAUUGAAAGAAACUUACGUUGGAGUAAGCAGCAGAUUUGAAUUUCUUGAGUCCACCGUUUGGUCGUACGUCUUCAAUUCCGUAACCUAAAGGAGCUUCGUAGAACAAGGAUUUACUACUACUAGACUUCUUCUUGCCAGCUUUUGACUCCAUUAGAACAUUCAAUAAUCCUGCAGGAAAUCCAGUUAGAAAGAAUUUCAUAAAUUUGGGGGAAAUUUGAUUGGCUUUGAUUGAGAAUGAAAAAAGCACAAAGAGAGAUAUCCUGUAUGUUAUAUACAGAUUCAUAUUAUGUAUCUCAUAAAUCAUGAUGAGAAACUGAAUGAAUUAUCUACACCAGAUCAUACAAUUACAAGGAAAAAUACGGUAUUAAACAUGACAUUAACAAGAACUCAGAUGUUAGAACGAAUGAUGAAACGAUAGUCUAAGCAUAUUACUAACAAAUUCAAUGACAUGUAAAACGAAUUAUGAAAGAUUAAAUUGAGCAUAUUCAUAAGCAAACGAACUUACAGAUAAAGCUAAUUACGAAACGAGAAGCCGCGAUUCAAACACGUCAAGAUCGAUCGGCACCUGAAAUCAGGAAUUGAAGGAAGAAACCUUUGAUCAAUCGAAUUGACAACAAAAUAUAAUUCUAAAAGGGGGUAUUAGGUUGAGGGAUUGAACAACAUACCGAUUAGUUGGGAUUGUAAUUAGGUAAAGGGAAAUGCAAUGGGUGAGAAGAUCGAAUUUAAAACCCUAAAUUGAGUAAUUGAGAGAAUUCAGAAAUUUGAGUGAUUAGAAUAAUAGGUCGAGGGGUAUUUAUAUAGGUGGUUGAGCCCAACAGAGAACCCGUGUUGCCGCGUAAAUUACGAUUCUAACCUUUAGGGAUAAGACGUUGAUAUACGGUUCUGGUGCAUUUUUAUUUUAUUUCAAAGAUACCUAAAUUAUUGGACAACAAUCAUGUUUUAAUAAAUGAAUGGUUUUAAUUUUUAAUUUUUUAUUAAUAUUAUAUUAUGUGUCAAUAUAGGUACAGGUAUUUUCUAAUAAAUGAAUAGUUUUUAAUCUUCAAUUUCUCAUUAAUAUUAUGUUAUGUGUCAUGUAGAUAUAUAUUAGACAACUCAUUUUAAAAUUCAAAUUUAUGUUUUUUAAUUAUACGUUAAAUUUGAAGUUAUAAUAAUGUUAAAAUUUUGAUAUAUCUCUUAAUUAAUAAUUUAUUUUAAAUGAUUUUUAUUUAAAAUAAUUGAUUAAUAAUUAUAAAUUUUUAUUAUGAAUAUUUAAAUAAUUUUAUAAUACGUGAUUCUCACGGGCUAUAAACUAGUAACAAAAUAUAGCUAAAUCAUACAUCAUACAUUAUCAAAUAUAAAAUUAUAAAUUAUAAAUAUAUAAUGACAUCUAUUCCUAAUUAUCUUCAUAUAAGUUUCUUUAGGUCUAUUUAGGUUACAAAGUGAUCAAUAACCUGUUUACAGUAGUUUAAUAAAAAAAAAUUAACCUAUAAGCUAUGAUAAAUUACUUUGUGGUCUUACUAAAUAUUAAGAUAAUAUUUGAGAGACUUGUUGAAAAACUAAUUAUUAGCUAAUAAACAAUCUUAUAAAUUAGUAAUAUUUAGUAAAAAAUAGCUGANNNNNNNNNNNNNNNNNNNNNNNNNNNNNNNNNNNNNNNNNNUAUAUAUAUAUAAAACUAACAUUAGAUAUAAUUAAAUGUAUAUUUAGAAUAUUUAAAAAAAAAAGUUUCAUAAGUUUCUUAAAAGAUAUUUCAAUUUAAAAAUAUUUAUAAGCUAUAAUAAUUGAUUUUCAUAAUUUAACAUACAUCAAAUUACAAUAAAUUAAUUUAUUUUUCUAAAUAAAAUCGAUAAUUAACUUACAAGAAAAAGAAGAAAAUGAUUGAAUAUUCAUAAUAAACUUGAAUAAAAAAGUUGGUUUGGAAUCUUAUUCCUACCUUUGUUUUGUCAUCCAUUUCCAUCCGUCCACGUGUAAGUAGAAUUUUAUCUACUUACAAUUUAUGUGGUCCUAAGUAAAACAUGAAAUUUUAUCAAACUUGACAUGCAAGUCAAAACUUCAUUAAAAACAACUUGUUCUGCAAGAUAGAAUCUAGUAUUUAAAUGUAGCCACAUAAAAAAAAAACCAUGUUAAAUGUUAUAGGAAACAAAGUUCAAGGCUAAUGGAGAAAAAUUCUGAACAAAAAAUAAAAUAAAAAUCAGAGUUUGAAGACGAAUGUAAUUUACUCUUUGCUUUAUAACUACCCACAAUAAUUGCAUUCACAAAUAAUGCACUAUGGUUGCAUAUUUUCAAGUUUCUUAUAGGUAUGUGGUCCAAGAGAGAAAUUGUGGCUUCUUCCUAGCUUUUGUGUAAUGACAUACAAAAGUUCAUAAAAUUUGUAUAUAAAUUUAUGGCUGUAGUACUACUUUGUGUUUUACCAUAAAAUAGAACAAAUUCUAUCUCCAAAUAAGUUGUAUAUAGCAUUUAGUUAUUCCCCUCUCUUUCUAUCUCACUCCAAAUUUCAAAUCUACCAAAAGAUUGGAAUCAACCAAGAACCACCCAUGUGAACAAACUAUCAAAGAUUCUAAUCUCCAAUUGCAAAAAGGUGUGGCAUACAAUAAUUCAUAUGAACACACAAAAGAAUAGAUUCAAUGUAUUUAUGAAGCAUCAAUUACACCUAAUUGUACAUGUCUACGUGCUCAAGAUGGAUGUGGUUUUCUCACAACUAUUUUUUGUCCUCUUUCUCAAAAUUUUAUUACAAUGUAAGCCAUGGACAUAUCCAAGUAGAAGGAAUGUGGGUCCUACAACCCAACUAAUUUUUUUAAAUACAUUUACAAUUUAUAUAGAAAAAAAAAAUUAGGACUUAUCUUAUAGUGUUGGACAAUAGAAGACAUAACUUUAAUGGUGGCAGGAAGGAAUUUCACAUCGAAUCCAAAAAGAAAGUGGUAGGGAACAACUUUACUCUAAGCAAAGUUAGUUUUAGUAUAAAAAUUUAGAAGGACCAGUUUGGGUUGUGUGUUCUCCCUAUUAGUUUUUAUACAUGUAGAACCGCUCCAGUUGAUCUCUUUAACACAGUCUGUUGGUUAGGGCCACGUGGUUUCUAUUCUACAUUUGCUACUGGUGUAAGCGUAAAGAAUUUAAUUUUGUUUAUCAUUUCGAAAGAAUCUAUCAAUGACACAAUAGAUACCAGUAAUCACAUUAAGAUAUGGUAGGGGAGGUAGAUGAUGAUAGUCAUUCCUCACAAAGGAUAGAGCGAUCAUGUGACAUAGAUUACCUUUAGCAUGAUCUAAAAGAUAAAACAUUUAAAAAGGGAAACACAUGGGUAACAUAAGUAAAAGUGACUAGUAAAAACAAUAUAUAGAGACUCAUAAUAUAAGCGGAUGAUUUUGAAACCCUAUAUAUAAGGAAACCAAAAAAGGAGAGUAAGUCAACAUGGACAAUAAUAAAAAAAUUAAAAAUAACCCAUAAUACAAUCAUUUAUGGUGGGAGUAUGCAACGACCCAAAUUUUUAAACAUUUGAUCUAUGGGAAAUAUCAGAGUUUCAUACAAUUACAGAAGUCUAAACAAAUUAAAACCUACUACUUCUUAGGAUAAAUCAUUAGCUUAUAAAAAAAUAGUUAUACAAAUGAGACAAGAAAGAAUUACAACUAAAUAUCUAGUCUAUGUCCUUGUGCUCUUGUCUUUUCUUUUGGUACAAUAGUUGCUACUACCUGAACCUGCAAAAAUUAAACAUCUAUCGAGCAUCAGACACAACGUGUCUGGUAAGUUAUUUUGUUGACUUUUCUUAUCUAUCUUCUUUCUUUUUUCUUUCUCAUACUUUGUCGUCUGACUCUUUCUUUAGUAGCAUACACUACUAUUCUUCUCAUUCUUUCAUCUUUCUAUUUAUGUAUCAUCUACUCUUUUUAUCAUACUCUUACUUUAGCCUCUUAAUAGGCUCUUCUCAUACUCUUCUAUUAGCCUCUUAACAGGCUCUUCUCUUAUCCUAUUAACAAGCUAUUCUCUUAGCCUCUUAACAAACUAUUCUCUUAUCCUCUUAACAGACUCUUUUCUUAGCCUCUUAACAAGCUUUUCUCUUAGCCUCUUAACAAGCUCUUCUCUUAGCCUCUUAACAAGUUAUUCUCAUACUCAACUCUAAGGGUACAACUAUCCAUUUUCAUUACUAGGCAUGCUCACCCGGUCUUACUCCUCUCUCUCUUAUGAUCCUCCAUGGAUCCUUAAUCAUUCUUCUUACUCUUGAAUCCCUCAUGGAUUCCUUACACUUAAUCCAUCAUGUAACGACAAAAUUUUCAAAACAAUUUUUUAUUUUUAAAUCAUAUUUUCAAUCACCCAAAUACAAUAUUCAACAACCGUAUCCAAUGUCAUCAUAAUAAACAAAUCCCAGAAUCUCAAAAGAUCUCAGAUACAUAAAUCCUCUCAGUGUGUACGGAUCAUGCCGGCGCCUUCCCGCGAUCCUCACUGGUACCUGAAACACAUAACACAACACUGUAAGCAUAAAUGCUUAGUGAGUUCCCCAAAAUACCACAUACAACACAUAUGCCUUUCCAGGCCAUAACUUUGUGGGACCUUCCGGUCCAAGUGUCUCAGGGGACUUCCAUCCCAAAUCCCGGUAGACCUUCCGGUCCUACCCGUAUCGACCUUCCGGUCCAUAACCUUCUAACCUUCCGGUCCAUGUCAUCUUGACCUUCCGGUCCAUAUCAUACAUAACAUACAUAACACAUACAUAUCAUAUAACAGCAUAUAGCACAUACAUCUCAUAGCAUAUAAGACCUUCCCGGUCACAUAUAGGUACCCUUCCAGGUACAAUAUAGUGAGAAGACUCACAUCGGGUGACUCGGUAAUCUUGAACUCGGUAAAUUCCCGGUCUAGCCUCCGCCUAAUCACAUGGAAUAAGCACUCUGAUCAACACAACUAUCAAGGCUAGACUAGACCCCUCUCUUAGCACUCUCAGAAGGGUAAAAGACCAUUUUACCCCUCUCAAGGCUCAAAGACCUUAAAGUUGACCAAACCCUAAAAGUCAACCAAAGUCAACUCUUCAGGUUACGCUGCACGUACCAAACCUGUACGCUGGGCGUACCCGGCGACCUCACAGAAAUGGGGAACGCGACCCCUUACGCCGCGCGUACUGGGAUUACGCCCUCGUAACUCCCAGUUUCAGACUCGUUAGCUCUUGGGGGUCUAAAACAGUUAAGACACACGUCCAACUUUUAGAUCUGACCAUUUCUAAGCCUCUUAACCCAUAAAGUUGGUGACUUUAAGCCUUUGCAUGGUUAGACAAGUCACUAACACCCAUAACAUUCCAUUUCCAACCCUAGAAAAGCUCAUAACUCAAGAAUGACCCCAUAACAACGACCAAGUUGGGAUUUUUUAUGGAUCUAUAACAAAAAUAUCACUGGAAUGGGAUAGAUCUAGGUCCAUGGAGUGCCUUACGCUCAUAAAGUCUCCACCUUUGGGACUUUUAAUCCUAGAAAUGGUCCAUGCAACAACAAACCAAAAUAAAGAGGAAAGUUUUGAACUUUAUACCUCUAGAUGAAGCUUCUUCCUCUGAAGAUCUCAGAUCCAAACUUGCACUUCAAGCCCUUGCCUCCAGAAGCUCCUCUCCUUCUUCUUCACCAACACACCAAGGCACUUUUAGCUCAAAACACUCACACACAAGCUUAAGGAUGAAGGAAGGCUCUAUUAGGGUUUCACUCUCUGAUAUGGUGGCUGAGGAAUAAGCCUUAGAAUCCUUUAUAUAGUGCACAAGCCAAAUAUUAGGGUUUGCAUAUAGGCCCUCUACGCCCAACGUAACCCUAGGUACGCCCAGCGUACCUAGGCGAGUCUGUGACCAAAUUAAGUGCAUGAGUACGCGCAGCGUACUCCCCAGUACGCCCAGCGUACUCAUUUUCCACAAAAUUCACUCAAGGGAUAAACUUGACAACUUGACAAAAGAGAAGGGUUAAAUAGCUUUACCUGAAUUUCGGGAUGUUACAAUUCUCCCCCACUAGAACCAGACUUCGCCCUCGAAGUCUCAUGCGGAAAACAACUCUAGAUGUUGCUCCCGCAUCUCCUACUCCGAUUCCCAAGUCAGCUCGGACCCCCUCUGAUGCUGCCACUGGAUCUAAACUAGGGGCACCUCCUUGUUCCUUAGAACCUUGAUCUUCCGAUCCAAGAUUGCAAUCGGUCUCUCAACAUAAUUCAGGCCCACAUCCACCUGAGUAUCCUCCAGCGGUAAUAUCGCCGACUCGUCGGCUAUACACUUCCUCAGCUUAGACACAUGGAACGUAUCGUGUAUCUGACUCAAUUAUGCGCGUAGCUCCAACCGAUAAGCUACCCUGCCCACCCUCGCGGUCACCCUGAAUGCCCAAUAUACCAGGGCCCUAGCUUGCCCCUCUUCCUGAAUCGAAUCACUCCUUUCCAAGGAGACACUUUCAGGAGUACGAAGUCUCCUACCUGAAACUCGAGCACGGAUCAUUGCCUAUCCGUGUAACUCUUCUGGCGACUCUGAGCUGUCAACAACCUCUGCCUGACAUGUUGUAUCUACUGUGUCGUCUGAAGCACUAUCUCAAUGUCACCCAUCACUUGUUGUCCUACCUCUCCCCAACAUAUAGGAGUCCGACACCUCCUCCCAUACAACAACUCGAAAGGAGGCAUACCAAUGCUCGAAUGGUGGCUGUUGUUAUAAGAAAGCUCAUUCAAUGGCAGAUACGUGUCCCAACUCCCUCCGAAGUCCAACACACAUGCCCGAAGCAUGUCUUCGAGUGUCUGAAUCAUCCGCUUACUCUUUCCGUCCGUCUGUGGGUGGUAAGCGGUACUGAAAUGCAGCCUCGUGCCCAACUCCUCAUGGAACUUAUUCCAGAACCUGGAAGUCAAACGUACAUCCCGGUCUAAUACAAUUGAGAUCGGCACUCCAUGUCACGAUACCACCUCCCUCAUAUACAACUCUGCCAUCCUCUCAGCAGAAGAGCUCUCACUGAUAGCAAGAAAGUGAGCACUCUUUGUUAGCUGGUUGACGAUCACCCAAAUUGCAUCGACACCCCUCGCGGUCCUUGGCAACUUGGUGAUGAAAUCCAUAGAAAUUUGUUCCCACUUCCAUUGGGGAAUCUCAAGUGGCUGCAACAUGCCAUGUGGUCGCUGGUGCUCGGCUUUAACCCUGCGAUAGGUUAAGCACCUCUUAACAAACCAUGCUACAUCCUUCUUCAUACAUGGCCACCAAUAAUCCUUCUUCAGAUCUAAAUACAUCUUAGUGGCCCCGGGAUGGAUCGAAAAUCUCGAUCUAUGCGCCUCCUCCAUCAAAGUGGUGCGCGUCCCGCCUGCAUACGGUACCCAAAUCCGACCUUGAAGAGUCAUCAGCCCGCGACUAUCGGUAAUGAACUUCGGCACCUGUCCAAUCACCCGCUCUCUCUUAUGGUUCUCCAGUCUCACGGCCUCUGCCUGGGCCUCCCGAAUGGUGUCCAACACCAGAGUCAUCACUGUCAACCACAUACAAAUGUCUCAAAUUGGGGCGCUCUCCGCCCAGCUACGACAUUAGCCUUGCCCGGGUGGUACAGGAUCUCACAAUCGUAAUCAUUUACCACGUCCAACCAUCUCCUCUGGUGCAUAUUUAGAUUGGGCUGGUCCAUCAAAUACUUCAAAUUCUUGUGGUCUGUGUAGAUGGUACACCGAACCCCAUACAAAUAGUGACGCCAAAUCUUGAGGGAGAACACCACUGCCCCCAACUCCAAAUCGUGGGUGGGAUACCUCGUCUCAUGAGGCUUCAGCUCCCUCGAUGCAUACGCUAUCACAUGCCCCCUCUGCAUAAGUACUUCACCCAACCCCGAUAUCGAUGCGUCACAAUACACCACAAAAUCCUCCACCCCUUCCGGGAGGGCUAGCACCGAGGCUUCUCACAAUCUCUGGCGAAGUGUCUCAAAUGAGGUCUGCUGCUCUGGACCCCACGAAUAAGCAACACCCUUCCGUGUCAACCUGGUGAGAGGCACGACGAUCUUGGAGAAAUCCAUGAUAAAUCUUCGAUAAUAGCCGGCCAAUCCUAGAAAACUUCUGAUCUCGGUGGGUGAUCUCGGCACCUCCCAUCUCAUAACCGCCUGAAUCUUGGCCGGAUCGACCAAUAUCUCAUCCUGGUUAAAAAGGUGUCCCAAGAACUGGACCUCUCGUAACCAAAAAUCACACUUGGAGAAUUUGGCAAAAAGCCUCUCCGAACUCAAUACCCCGAGAAUCUCUCUUAGAUGCUCCUCGUGCUGCUCUCUAGAUCUCGAAUACACCAAAAUAUCAUCAAUGAACACGAUCACCGACCGAUCCAGCAUCGGCCUGCACACCCUGUUCAUGAGAUCCAUGAAUGCUGUCGGUGCAUUGGUGAGCCCAAAAGGCAUCACCACGAACUUGUAAUGCCCAUAACGAGUUCUGAACGUCGUCUUCUGGAUAUCUUCAUCCCGAGCUCUCAUCUGAUGAUAUCCCGACCUCAAGUCUAUCUUGGAGAACCAAGACGCCCCUGCAACUGAUCAAACAAAUCGUCGAUCCUCGGUAACAGAUAACGGUUCUUGACCGUUAACUUGUUCAACUCCCGGUAAUCAAUGCACAUCCAGAGUGAACCAUCCUUUUUCUUGAAAAAAAGGAUCGACGCUCCCCAUGGUGAGCUACUCGGUCUAAUAAACCCCUUCCCCAGCAGCUCCUGAAGCUGUGAGGAUAACUCCUGCAUCUUUGGCGGCGCAAAGCGAUAAGGCGCCUUGGCGAUAGGUGCUGCCCCCGGAACCAAAUCGAUAUGGAACUCUACCUGCCUCUCGGGAGGCACACUCGACAAUUCCUCAGGAAAAACAUCCGAAAACUCGCACACUAUCGGAACCUCAUCAAUCGAACUUGGCCUCCCAGUAGCCACUCGCGUGUCCAUCACAUAGGCUACAAACCCGCUGCAUCCCUGCUGCAAACUCUGCUUCGCUCUAGCAGCCAAACAAAACGCCGACCCACAUCGGGUACCCUCACCGUACACCAUAAGUACUCCCCUACUAGGGUCUCGUAUCGUCAUCAACUGACGCUUGCAUUCUAUAACAUCCCUAAAUUGGCUCAACCAAUCGAUGCCCACUAUGACAUACACGUCCCCCAUCGCAAUCGGGACCAGAUCUAUUGGGAUCUCCACACCGAAGAUCUCGUGUAUACAUCCUUGAAUCACAUCCGUAGCAUACACCACUCGCUCGUCAGCUAUAGAAACUCGAAGAGGUCGACUCAGCGCCUCUCGUCGGAUACUGAUGUGCUGACUAAAUGCCAAGGAAACAAAUGACCAACUCGCACCCGAGUCAAAUAACACCAAAGCAGGUACAAAAUUCACAAGAAAAGUACCUACGCAUAUCAUAAUAUAAGCACAACACCUCAAACUCAACAUAAAUAAAUGAAAGAAUACAUACCAGCCACGACAUCAGGCUCUGCACGGACCUCCUCCAUUGUCAACUAGAAGGCUCUCCUGCGAGCCUUUGGUGCCUCAGCUUUCACUGGCCAAACAUCAGUAGCUCGCAUAGCGGCAGGGGCAGAUCCUUGUUGUGCUCACUGUGCUGUCCCCUGCAUCUAUGGACAUUUGGCCUUCCGAUGGCCCGUCUGGUUGCAAUGAAAGCAAACCAUGAAUCCCUUGGGGUAAUCCUUGGCUAUAUGCCCCUCCUUGCCAUAUUUGUAGCAAGCACCCGAUCGACAAACCCCGUCGUGUAUAUAGCCGCACUUUCUGCAAGUGCGACCCUUCUGGCCUCCAGAUCUCGAAUUGGCGGGCUUUGCUCGCUUGGCUGCCAGCUAAGACUGUGUCGACCGUCGAUCCAUCCCCUGAGACUCGGCCUCUUCCCUGGCCUAGGUCUCCAACUCAAUCUCCCUCUUCUGGGCAUUUGCCUGAAGCUCAGCAAAUGUCUGGUAAGUCGAGCUCGACACAAGCUCCCGAAUAUCCCUCCUUAGAAUGAUCAAAUAUCGGCUCAUGCGUGCCUGCUCGGUAGACACCUGCUCAGGGAAAAACAUCGCCCUCUCAUGAAACUUCCUAGUAAUCACAGUAACCGAAUCAGUACCCUGCUUGAGGGUCAAGAACUCCUAAGCCAACCGCUCUCUUUCCACUGGGGGAAAGAUCUCCAUCACUAACAUCCACCAGUCCAUCGCUCCCAAGCGAAGCUGGUUCAGCGCGAACCGUACCCUCAGAUGCUCCGGACAUGAACACGUGUAGAAGCAUCCCACGCUAUCAGAAAUCCAUCUCAUCGCAGUGAUUGGAUCCUGCAUCCCAUCAAACUCGGGUGGCUUCGUGUUGCUGAACUCCCAAAACAACAACGAGUCACCUCCCUAAGGCCUGGCAGCAGCCACAACUGCAAUAGCUGCAGCNACAGCCUCAGUCACUGCUGCGUACCGCUCAUCGAAAGUCUCAAUCAAUGUGAUCUUGAUAGACCCAAACAUCUUCGGAAUCUCGGCUCGGAUGGCCGCAACCACCUCCUCAUGAAUCAUCCUGCGGAUCUCCUCCUCACUAACACCACUGCUCUCAGGUGUGUGGCGUGUCCCAAUCAUGAUGUCUCUCUGAAAUACAACAUAAAAUAUCAGAGACCCGCUCGAGCAUACUCGCACUCGAUAACACAUUCCUACUUGUUCCCAAGUACCCUAAGGAUUCUUACUUGGACUGCGCACUGAUACGGUGUCUUCGGUAGUACGAGCCCUUAUACUGACGUCCACACCACAUCAGUAUUCACCCCAAGUCCUCCUCCUUGGAUCUUAGUUCACAAGUACUCUACAUCUCACUAGAAUAGGCUACCCUUCGGUAAACCUCUCAUAAGCUCCUCACUGCUACCCACUCACUCUCAAGCAUCUAAUAGCAGCAGAAAUCUUCCUAGGCUAAGGCAUCUCAAAUAAAGCCACUCUAGUCCUAAUAUGAAUACCUAGCCUACUUUCGCAUGCAUAUCAUAUCAUAACAUAUCUCAUAACACAUAAUGUAAGGGUAUUUUGGGAAAUCACCGUUCACGCGCUGACUGAUCGUACACAUUGCUCCGUUCUGCCUUUUCCCAAAAUCCUUUACUCUCUUAGAAAAAAAAUUUAUUUUAUGAAAAACUUUCUCAAAUCCUCAGUUUGAGUUCAGAUACAUCCGAAGUUGCACCUGAAUCCCUCAAACCAAGGCUCUGAUACCAACUUGUAACGAAAAAAAUUUCAAAACAAUUUUUCAUUUCUAAAUCAUUUUUUCAAUCACCCAAAAACAAUAGUCAACAACCGUAUCCAAUGUCAUCAUAAUAAACAAAUCCCAGAAUCUCAAAAGAUCUCAAAUACAUAAAUCCUCUCAGUGUGUACGGAUCAUGUCGGCGCCUUCCCGCGAUCCUCAUUGGUACCUAAAACACAUAACACAACACUGUAAGCAUAAAUGCUUAGUGGGUUCCCUAAAAUACCACAUACAACACAUACGCCUUUCCAGGCCAUAACUCUGUGGGAUCUUCCGGUCCAAGUGUCUUAGGGGACUUCCGUCCCAAAUCCCAGUAGACCUUCCGGUCCUACCCGUAUCGACCUUCCGGUUUGUAACCUCCUGACCUUUAGGUCCAUGUCAUCUUGACCUUCCAGUCCAUAUCAUACAUAACAUACAUAACACAUACAUAUCAUAUAACUGAUGGGUUUUAUGCAUAAGAAACAUUCGUAUGUGCUCAUACAAACCCUAAUGCUUGGAUCUAGGUUUCUCUAUUGUACAUGAUUUGAUUCCAAGACUUACAAACCUAGAUCUAUCAUAUAUAAUUCAAAAUUAUCAUAAAGAAAACAGAUCUAAGUGGUUUACCUCAUCCAAGUAGCUUGAAUCCUUGUAAUCUUCUUGAUCUUGAGCUUAGAGUCACAAAUGUAACUCCUCUAAUGGUUCACAAACCCCACAAGAUAGAAGGAAAUAUGAGAAAGGGUGAGAGAUGCUAGAAAUCAGCCUAGUGUUCUCUUAGAAUCAAGUGGUAGCCGAUUUCCAUAGCCUAGGGGUCUAAUUUAUACUGCUAGCUGCUAGGGUUUCAGCCUAAACCCUAAUGGACAGCUUAAUUACCAAGCAGCCCAUAGAACCUUCUAGAUUAGGGCCCUUGGACGAAAAUAUGAUGGAUCCCCAUCAUAAUUUCGUUUCCCCUUAUUCCAUUAGGUUCUCCGGCUCAAAACUCAACUAUCAUGCAUAUUUAAUUAGUCUCUUUUAGUCACCAAAUUAACUCCAAAAUAAUUUAUGACUAAUACUAAUCAAAUAAAUAUGAUUUCUCCUUUAAUAUAUUAUUCUUAUAAUAUAUUAAUAAACCAUAAUAUUCUCUCUUUCUCCUUAAAUUACCUUGUCAAGUUGCUUUGGAGAAGGCAACCCAAAAGGACCAUGCACAACCGGGUCAAGUACAUACCAAAUAUAGUUACGGGCUUAGACAUUAAUCCAAUAGUCUCCCACUUGGAUACGUCUAGUAACUAUAAAUGCAUGUAAUAUCCGAUUAGCAAUCGUAGCUCUCAAAGACGCUGUCGAACUCUGAUCUUAUCAGUAACCUGUCCUUUAGAUAAGGGAUCGUAUAGUCCUCCGUUCUAGAUAUCACGCGGACAAUUACAUGGAACAUAGCCAUACAUAUUGUCCAACAGUUUGUUUCUCGAUCUCUGAUUCGUCUGACAUAGAAAUUAAUUGAACACAUCAACUCAGUCCUGACCGGGACCGACUCAUAAGUCAAACCAAAUCAUCGAGGGGCCAAUAUAUCGCUUUUACCCUCUUAGGAUAAAAGGAACAAAUAAACUUCGAAUUAUGCGCACUUACCAUUCACUCAUCAAUUCAUGCACAACAAUGCGUUUUAAAACAUCAAGUUACUAAUGCGUUUACGCAUUAUCAAUGCACAACCUACUCGCAAAUAAUAAACCGUAUAUCUAGGUUUUAAGACCAUAUGAUAUUAUCAUCUUGCGAUCACUCGAGGUAAAUUCCAUGAAGUGAUACCAGCAAGCGUGGGUUUAAUCCAAUGCUCAAAUCAUAUUCAUAAGCACUCAUGAACGUUGCAGCAAACCUUUGCUAUGUCUAAUACACUUUAGACAAUAUACAAACCAAUUCAUGAAAAUCUUCUUGCAUACCUACUCCCAAAGUAUUAGUGGCUGUGGAACGUUCGAAUAAUCUUAUUAUUCAGGAAGUCAAAGCAUGCAAAGUGAAACAAUAGGUAAACAAUCAACAUAAGACAAUAACUUUACUUAUAAAUAAUACUCCUUUAUUUAAUCAUCAAAUGUCAAUUACAUUUAUCUAUUACAUGUUUCGAAGCUAUCUAAUCUAAACUAAUAUCGUCCUUCAGCCCAAUACUUCUAGCGUGCUGCAAGUGCUUAACCCUACUCAGUCCCUUCGUAAGGGGAUCUGUUGGGUUAUCCUCCGACGAUACCCUCUUCACUACGAGGAGUCCCUCUUCCACCCGAUGUCGAAUAAAAUGAUAUUUCCUGUUGAUAUGUCGAGAUCUACCUGAUCCCCCGGUUCCUUGGUCAAGGCAACCACUCCUUCAUUAUCACAUAAAAUUUUCAUGGGCUCNGGCACAACUCCAAGGUCUCCGAUGAAGUUCUUCAACCAUAUCGCCUCCUUUGAUGCUUCACUUGCUGCUAUGUACUUUGAUUCGCACGUCGAAUUAGUUACGGUCUCCUGCUUGGAACUCUUCCAAGUUACUGCUCCUCCAUUNNNNNNNNNNNNNNNNNNNNNNNNNNNNNNNNNNNNNNNNNNNNNNNNNNNNNNNNNNNNNNNNNNNNNNNNNNNNNNNNNNNNNNNNNNNNNNNNNNNNUCUAAGUUUUAAGACUAUAUGAUAUUAUCGCUUUGUGAUCACUUAUGGUAAAACACCACGAAGUGAUACCAGCAGACUCGGGUUUAUUCCAAUGCUCAAAUCAUAUUCAUAAGCACUCAUGAACUUUGUAGCAAACCUUUGCUAUGCCCAAAACCUUUUAGACAAUCGACAAACAAUUCAUGACAGUCUUCAUUCCAAUCUACUUCCAAAAUAUGACCGACUGUGGACUGUUUGAAUAAUCCUAUCAUUCAGGAAGUCAAAACAUGCAAAAUGGAAACAAUAGAUAAAUAACCAACACAAGAUAGUAGCUUUACUCAUAAAUAACACAAUUUAUUUAUUCAUCAAAUGUCAAGUACAACCUAUCUAUUACACGUUUCCUAUCUAAUCUAAACUUAUAUCAUCCUUCAGCCCAAUGCUCCCAGCGUGCUGCAAGUGUUGGACCCUACUCAGUCCCUUCGUAAGGGGAUCUACUGGGUUUUCUUAUGAUGAUACCCUCUUUACAACGAGAAGUCCCUCUUCUACCCGAUGUCUGAUAAAAUGGUAUUUUCUGUCGAUAUGUCGAGAUCUACCAUGAUCUCUUGGUUCCUUGGUCAUGGCAACCGCUCCUUCAUUAUCACAGAAAAUUUCCGUCAGCUCCUUUAUGGAUGGCACAACUCCAAGGUCUCCAAUGAAGUUCUUCAACCAUAUAGCCUCCUUUGACGCUUCACUCGCCGCAACGUACUCUGAUUCGCACGUUGAAUCAGCUACGGUCUCCUGCUUGGAACUUUUCCAAGUCACUGCUCCUCCAUUCAGGGUAAAGACCCAGCCCGACUGCGAUCGGAAAUUAUCCUGGUUCGUCUGAAAACUAGCGUCACUGUACCCUCAUACCCUUAAGUCAUCACUCCCACCGAGGACUAGAAACCAUUCCUUGGUCCUUCGCAAGUACUUAAGGAUAUUCUUAACUGCAAUCCAAUGGGCUCUACCAGGGUUCCCCUGAUAUCUGCUGACCAUGCUCAAAGCAAAGGCCACAUCAGGGCGAGUACAAGUCAUAGCGUACAUGAUAGAGCCUGCUGCGGAAGCAUAAGGUACUUGGCUCAUAUCAACUAUCUCUGCCUCUGUACUCGGGCUCUGAGUCUUACUCAGCUUGGUAUGGCUUUGGAUUGGCAACUCCUCUUUCUUGGAAUUUUCCAUACUAAAACGCUUUAGUACCUUAUCCAAGUAUGUAUCCUGACGGAGUCCUAUCAGUCUCUUUUCUCUGUUUUGUUACUAUCCUUAUUCCCAGAAUAUAAGCAGCCUCUCCGAGGUCAUUCAUAGCGAAACAUUUCCCAAGCCAGGACUUGACCUCCUGCAAGGUUGGGACAUCGUUUCCUAUGAGCAGUAUGUCGUCGACAUACAAUACGAGGAAUCUCACUAUACUCCCACUGGCUUUGACAUACACACAAGAUUCAUCUUCGCUUCGCAGAAAGUUAAACUCUUUAACCUUCUUGUCAAAACAAAGAUUCCAUCUGCGAGACGCCUGUUUCAACCCACAAAUGGAUUUCUCAAGCUUGUAUACUCUAUUUGGAUGCUUUGCAUCGAAAAAACCCUCUGGAUGAUUCAUGUAAACAUCUUCAGCCAACUUUCCAUUAAGGAAAGCGGUUUUCACGUCCAUCUGCCCUAUUUCAUAAUCAUGAAAUGCAGCUAUUGCAAGCAUCACCCUAAUAGACUUUAUCUUCGCAACUGGUGAGAAGGUCUCAUCAUAGUCAACUCCGGGAGUUUGAGUAAAGCCAUUCGCAACCAAUCGCGCUUUAUAAGUAUGCACUUUCCCAUCCAUGUCUAUCUUCUUCUUGAAGAUCCACUUGCACCCGACUGUCUUAUGACCCGUUACGUUAUCAACCAAAUUCCAAACUUGGUUGUCAUACAUGGACUGAAUCUCGCUGUCCAUCGCCUCUUUCCAUUUCGCAGACUCCGGGCCUGCCAUGCUUCCUUGUAGCUGCUAGGUUCGUCCAAAUUUACUAGUGUACUAUCACUAAUAAAUGUAUCCCCUUCAGUAGUAAUAAUAAAACCAUAAAAAUGGGGUGGAACACUAGUCCUAGUGGAACGUCGAAGAGGUAGGGACUCGUCAACAGGUUCAACAGGAGUCUCUUCCUCAAGUUGAAUGCCAGUGUCAAAGGUUCCUUCAUCGCUUUGAUCUUGAAUCUCUUCAAGUUCAAUUUGCCUCCCAUUGUCUUCUUGGCUUAUGAAUUCCCUUUCUGGGAAAACUCCUCUUCUAGCAACAAAGAUAACAUUGUCACUCGGUCUAUAGAAAAGAUAUCCAAAAGACUUCUGCAGAUAGCCGAUGAAAUAACACUUCUCACUACAAGGUUCGAGUUUAUCGUGAGUCUCUUGUCUUACGAAAGCCUCGCAACCCCAAACCUUAAUAUGUGCCAACGAGGGAGCCUUCCAUGUCCACAUCUCGUGAGGAGUCUUGGAAACCUUCUUGGUGGGAACUAAGUUAAGGAUAUGGUAGGCAAUCUCUAAGGCAUACCCCUAGAAAGCUAUUGGUAACGAAGUCCGACUCAUCAUAGAAUGUACCAUGUCCAACAAGGUCCGAUUAUGUCACUCAGCCACACCAUUCAAUUGUGGCAUCCUUGGAGGCGUCAAUUGCAAGACAAUUUCGCAUUCCUUUAGAUAGUCGUGAAACUCAAGACUUAGGUACUCUCCUCCUCGGUCUGACCGAAGCAUCUUGAUUUUCCCACCCAGCUGAUUCUCCACUUCAUUCUUAAACUCUUUGAACUUUUCAAAGGUUUCCGACUUUUGCUUGAUAAAGUAGAUAUAUCCAUAUCUGGUAUAAUCAUCCGUAAAAGUCACGUAGAAGCGGGAAGCAUCCCUUGUGGUAGAUCUAAAGGUCCCACACACAUCGGUGUAUAUGAGAUCCAAUAAACCCUCACCCCUUUCACAAGUGCCAGUAAAGGGUGACUUGGUCAUCUUCUGUCACACCCCAAAACCAAAAUGGAGGAAAUGUUCUGGGGUGGAGGACGUCAUGUAUAGCAUCACAACCAAUGUAUAAUAGCAAUCAUAGCAACGCAACCAUUACAUUGAAUACUUAAAUAAAAAUGUUUACAUCAAUUUGGAAAUUGUCUGAAACUUGUUUGGAUUUCGUCAUACAAAAUAUAUAUAUAGAAUAUAAACACUAAACUCUUAUUGCUCCAACUCUAUAAAAACCCAGCAGGUACCUGUCUACUGAUUUCUUGAGAAUACAAGCAGUUUAAAAAAUAUCAACAUAAAGCUGGUGAGUUCAUAAGCAUUAGUUUGUAACGAAACUUGUUGAUGAGCUAGCAGAAAUGUUUGUAUAGUUUUAAGAAAAUCCGAUAUUUUCUUUAAUUAAAUAUUAGUGUUAUCAGUUCUGUAGUAAACCAUGAAUAUAUGUAUGUUUCCAAGAAAAUCCGAUAUUUUCUUUAGUGAAAAGGUAGCGUUAUCGAUUCCAUAUAAAACCAUGAAUGUUCGUUACUGAAAACUGUAGUGAUAUGCAUAAAUACUACCUCAUCUGACUAGCUAAAGCUAAUCAUGAAGUAUAAAUAUUUUGUAUGUGAAGCCAUUUCAUAAUUUGUUCUGUUUGAAAACCCUGGCUUUGGCCAGUAUACGUAGUGUGUUUUAGUUCUAUUUAGUAUAAAUAAAACCGUUGAAGAGUGUCAGAUUGUAAACUAAAGUUGAUUUAUACAUAAUGUGAGUCAUAUAACCAUACCAUACUUGAUAUGACUAGAGACCUUUCCAACGUUCUUCAGGCGUCGAGUUAAAUGACAUUUGUCACCUUGGGCAUGCCUGCCCAACUGUAGCUAGCAGUUCCGGUGUGGGAUUGUCAGUCCCAAAUAGAUCUAUUCACAAAUCUCACGCUCUCCCUCCAGGAGACUCUGGUUAUACUAUGAUAGGAUUUAUCCCUGUACACCUAAGGGUACAGUAGUGAAGUAGCGCCUCACAAUAUCGUACAAUCUAGUUUACAUGUAGUGUAGUAGUGUUCUACCGUAGCGAAAAUCCGAAUGUAUACUGUUCGUAGUGAUCAUUACAGUUAUGAAAACGUGAUAAAGUAGUAAUGCAAAAAUGUAAACUACUUUUGUCUUAGUGCAUACAUUUAGUAGUGAAAGUUUCUAUACUUGUUAUGUUUAGAAAAAUCCCAAACUAUACCGAUUAUAGUUUGCAUGAGUAACAUAGUGAAUAGCGAAUCCGGAAAAGGAUGAAAUUUUCAUUGAAAAACUAGCCUUAUGCUCAACACAGUACAAACGGGUUAAAGUAUGAUAAUUUCAUGAGUUUUGAAAACAUUUAUGUUUAGCUUGUAUUCCCCCCUGAAAACAUUAAAAAUACGGAAAAAUGUAAGGGUAUGAACUCACCUCGGGUGAUUUGAAUGAAGGAUCGAUACGGAAUACGGGAUGUUCAAGUGAAGCCUUGAACACGAUUUGAUCCUAAUCAACAAGUAAUGACAUAUAAAGGAGUCAAAUGAUGGUAUUUCACCACUAGAUGUGACGAAAAACCAUUCUAAGAACUUGGGACUACUUGCACUAAGUGUUAGGACCUCAAAGGAUUGCAUGAGUGAGGUGUAUGUCCACUUUAAAGGUGUUUUUAAGGUCCAUACUUGCCUCCAUGAAGUGUCCUAGGCCCAUACUUGGUUGUAGUACAAGUUUAGGGUCUUAGAAAUAGGUUUGUGGUCCUAUGGUGUGUGUAUGGUUGCACAAAUGAGUGUGCUGCCGCACACACGGGUGUGCUGCCACACACACGAGUGUGUUGCCGCACACACGAGUGUGUGGUUGCACUCCUUCAACGAGAUGAAGAACAUGACGGAACUUUCAUGAUUCAAGGCCUAGAUCAAGAGGUUCUUCAAGUAUAACAAGCUAAGGGAUGGAUUACUCACGUUUUUGAAGCUUUGGAAGGUUCAAAGUUGGAGAAACUUGAGAGGAAAUGAUGUUGUGUGCUGCCAAGGUGUUAAAGGAUUGAAAGGAAGGGGGCUACCCUUUAUAUAGGGGUAAAGGUGCUGCGCAAAAGUGAGUGUGCUGCCAAGGGAGUGGGUGUACGGCUGCACACCCGUGUGUACGGUCGUAUACUCCUCCAAGAGGUGUGUAUGGCCCAAUUUUUCAUUAUUCAACACUCCGACUCAUUCCUAAAAUCAACCUUGGUUAUAUAUACAAGCUUAGAACACUUAAAUGACCCCUUGAAUAGCACUAGAAAUCGACGAAACAAGUUGAAUAUUGAUUGAAUUAAUUAAUUGUACAAGAUUGAAAUUCCGGGUUGUCACAUCAUCCCCUCAUUAGAAGGAAUUUCGUCCCGAAAUUCAAGGAUAAAGUACAAUCAUGAACUUGGAAAGAGAUGGGAGUACUUCUGCUUCAUUGAAUCCUCAUGCUCCCAAGUGAAUUCAGGACCCCGCUUGGCAUUCCAGCGGACCUUCACUAUCGGGAUGCGACUCUAUUUUGUACGCUUGACUUCCCGAUCCAUGAUUUCGACAGGUUCUUCCACGAAGUGUAGCCCCUGGUGUAAUUCGAUCUCGUCGAGAGGAAUCACAAGUGUCUCAUCGGACAGACACUUAUUUAGGUUCGACACGUGGAAGACAGAUGGAUGUUGUUGAGCUCUUGAGGUAACUGGAGUUUGUAUGCUAUGGGACCGAUCCUAGCAAGGAUCUCGAAUGGUCCAACGUACCUUGGGUUUAGCUUUCCACAUUUUCCGAAACAUAUCAUGCCUAUCUAGGGCGAGACCUUCAGAAGGACGCGGUCACCGACCUGGAAUUCCAAGGGUUUUCGUCUCUUAUCGGCGUAGCUCUUUUGUCUAUCCCGAGAUGCUUUCAGUCACUCUUUGAUUUGUACGAUCUUUUCUGUUGUCUCUCGGAUGAUUUCAGGACCCAUGAGAGUGCUGUCAGGGACUUGAUCCUUGGCUAACUGCGUGUCACCUACUUCAGCCCAGCACAGAGGGGAUCUGCACUUGCAGCCGUAGAGGGCUUCAAACGGCGCAACCUUGAUGCUAGUAUGGUAGUUGUUGUUGUAGGAAAAUUCGACCAAAGGAAGAUGAGUGUACCACGACGCGCCGAAGUCGAUGACACAGGCUCUCAACAUAUCUUCCAAUGUCUGAAUUGUUCUCUCACUUUGUCCAUCAGUAUGGGGAUGAUAAGCAGUGCUCAUAUCCAACUUAGUUCCUAGUGCCUUCUGAAGCGAUUGCCAGAACCUUGAGGUGAACCUGCUAUCUCGGUCAGAGAUAAUGGAUACAGGUACCCCAUGAAGGCGAACUAUUUCUUGCAUGUAGAUCCGUGUAAGUCUCUCCAUCUUGAAGUUUUCUUUGAUUGGCAGGAAGUGGGCAUAUUUAGUCAACCGAUCGACAAUCACCUAGAUGGCAUCGUGUCCACUCGGGGAUCUAGGUAACUUGGUGAUAAAAUCCAUUGCUAUCAUUUCCCACUUCCACUCAGGUAUUUCUGGCUGCUGAAGUAAACCUGAGGGCUUCUGAUAUUUAACCUUCACCUUGGCGCAUGUCAAGCACUUGCCCACAAAGGUUGCAAUCUCCACUUUCAUGUUUGGCCACCAAUAGAGUUGUUUGAGAUCCAGAUACAUCUUAUCUGAACUGGGGUGAACGGAGUAUUUCGUCUUGUGACCCUCAUUCAUGACAAUCUCUCUGUACCCACUGAACUUUGGGGUCUAGAUCCGGUUCAUUAAAUAGUACAUUCCGUCUCCCUUAACCUCUAAGUUCUUGUACAUUCCCCUCAAUGCUUCAUCCAUCUCUUUCUCUGGUUUCAAGGCUUCCUGCUGAGCCUCCCAGAUUUGUGCGGAUAGAUGGGAAUGAACGGUCAUUGUCAGUGCCUUCACCUUUCGCCCGGAGUAUUCCUUUCAGCUGAGGGAAUCUGCUACCACAUUGGCCUUGUCGGGAUGGUAGCGAAUUUCGCACUCAUAGUCACUGAGUAGCUCUACCCAUCGUCGCUGUCUCAUGUUUAACUCUCUCUGAUCAAGGAUGUGUUGCAAUCUCUUAUGGUCGGUGAAGAUAGUGCACUUAGUUCCAUAGAGAUAGUGUCUCCAGAUUUUCAAUGCAAAGACAAUUGCUUCCAACUCUAGAUCGUGAGUUGUGUAAUUGACCUCGUGUGUCUUCAACUGCCUCGAGGUAUAGGCGAUGACCUUUCCUCGUUUCAUGAGCACACAGCCUAGGCCCUGAUUGGAUGCAUCGCAAUAGACCACGAAGUCUUUCGUCCCUUCGGGCAGGGACAAGAUAGGUGUGCUACACAGGGCCUGCUUCAAUGUUUGAAAUGGAUUGUCUUGCUUGAAUCCCCAACUAAAGGUUACACCUUUCUGUGUCAGGGUAGUUAAGGGCUUAGCGAUUCUGGAGAAGUUCUGGAUGAACCUGCGAUAAUAGCCCGCGAGGCCCAAGAAUUGUCGUUCUUCUGUGGGUGUUUUAGGUGCAGACCAAUUCUCUAUCGCUUUGAUCUUAGAAGGGUCUACGUGAAUACCUUCCUUGCUAACCACGUGCCCAAGGAAAUUUACCUUCUUGAUCCAAAACUCGCACUUCGAAAACUUCACGUAUAGCUUUUCCGCCCUUAAUGUUUCCAACACCUGUCUCAAGUGGUGUUUAUGAUCACUCUCACUCCACGAAUAGACAAGUAUGUCAUCGAAGAACACGAUCACGAACUUGUCUAAGAAAGGGCGGCACACUCGAUUCAUCAAGUCCAUGAAUACUGCCGGUGCAUUGGUCAGAACAAAGGGCAUUACUACAAAUUCUUAGUGUCCAUAACGAGUUCGGAAUGCUGUCUUAGGCACAUCAUGCUCGUGGACUCGCAACUGAUGGUACCUUGAUCUUAGAUCUAUCUUUAAGAAAUAACUGGCUCCCUGAAGUUGGUCAAAGAGAUCGUUGAUUCUGGGCAAGGGAUAUCGAUUCUUGAUGGUCAGCUUAUUCAGCUCUUGGUAGUCAAUGCACAUCCGAAAGGAUCCAUCUUUUUUUUCUCGAAUAAGAUCAGAGCUCCCCAGGGUGAGGAACUUGGUCUUAUGAAUUCUUUGCUGAUCAGCUCAUUGAGCUGGCUGGAUAAUUCUUGCAUCUCUGCUGGCGCUAAACGGUAGGGAGACUUAGCUACAGGAGUAGCUCCGGGGAUUAAGUCGAUACGAAACUCAACUUGACGUUCGGAUGGAAUUCCUGGGAGAUCUUUAGGAAAAACAUAAGGAAAGUUGUAGACUUCGGGGAUGCUCUCGAGGCUUUUAACUUUUUGCGUCCCAUCAACAACAUGAGCUAGAAACGCAUAGCAUUCCUUCCGUAGGUACUUCUAAGCUUUGAUGCACGAGAUGAUACGAAGGUUCGAACUAAGUUUGUCACCAUAAAUCAUGAGGGCUUCGCCAGAGGGAAGGUUGAGGCGAAUAGUUUUUUUCGAAAAAAAGGAUAUCAGCACGAUUGGGGCUCAACCAAUCCAUACCGAUAAUGACAUCGAAACUCUUGAUAGAUACAGGCAUAAGAUCGAUAGGGAAGGAAUGAUCGCCUAAGGUAAGAGUACAUCCUAGGAAUAUGUCGUUCGCGCUCUCUUUCUCUCCGUUAGCCAUCUUGACGGUGAAUGUUUCGGUUAAAGGUUGGGAUUUACAUUUGAUUAGAUGUUUGAAUGCAUGACUAACAAAACUCCUUUCCGCACCAAAAUCGAAAAGACUGCAUGCAUGAAAGUUGUCAAGGAGGAACGUACCCGUAACAACGGUAGGAUCAGCGACCACUUCAUUCUGGCCCAUUGCCAAAACUCUCCCUGUAUUGCCAUCAGUCGUUUCCUUGGGACAAUUUCUCCUAAAAUAUCCAACCUCUCCACAUCCAUAACAAGCUUGACCAACACCUACUCCCGCAGUCGGGUUGGUGGGUUGGGCUGGCACCUUGCAGUAUCGAGCUGUGUGAUCCUUCUUCCCACAAUUGUUGCAACUCAACUCACGGAAUGGUCCGUGAUGAUGGAAGUUACACUUGUUGCACAAAGGUAAUUUCCCAUCAUAAACACCGAUAGGAGUUUGGGUGGCUGGAACAGUAGCUGGGGCAGCAGUAACAGCAUGAACUGCCACUGUUAGUUGUUUCUUGGAGGGCUCCUGCGAAGACUGACCCUUGCGUUUGUUCCAUGAUUUCUUCUUCUUCCCACCACUUUCCUUCUGUGUCUCAGAAACAGUUGCCACUUCAUCUAGAUCAACCCCAUUAUCGAUCAGAAUUUGUGCCAGAUCCUUGGCGCUCUCAAAUGUAGUCGGUCUAGCAGCCAAGACAUUUCCCUUGGUAGGUUGUGUCAUCCCCCAGAUGUACCUCUCGAUUUUCUUGCUUUCCGGGGUGACCAUUCCCGGACAGAGAAGUGCCAGAUCACAGAAUCUAGUAGUGUAGGCAGCGAUGUCGGAUCCCUUCAUCUUCAAGUUCCAAAGUUCGUGCUCUAACUUUUGCACUUCGCCCCUCGGGCAGUACUCCGCUAACAUGAGCUCCUUAAGCCUUUCCCAACCCAUGGCAUUAGCCACUGGAAGGGUUAGGGUUUUGACUCGACCAUUCCACCAGGUCAAGGCUCUGUCAGUGAAGGUGCAUGCGGCAAACUUCACCUUGUUAGCUUCAGAACAGACUUGGGUUUCGCAGUCAUGAAGUCCUUGUAGGAACACUCUUUCUGAUGUCCCUGACUUCCAUCUUGUCUCUGUGGGUCGGUUCCACCUCCAGCUCCUCCAGCGUUCACUUGUGUCAAGGCUGUAGUCACGGCUUUGGUAACUGCUGCCUGGAACAUGACGGGGUCGAACUGAGGAGGUGGUGGUGGUGGCGGAGCGUCGUUGUUCCUUCUGAUGGGUCUUCGUCGAGGAGGCAUCUUGUUCUAGAAACAAUUAGGAAGAAGACGAUGGUAAGUUCUUGAGAUAUAUAAGAGAACAAAAUAUAUCUCGUCCUGAUAAUGAAAGUAUUCUACCAAUCGAUAAUCAAGAAAGGUUAUUAACACAAAUAAGUUAUCGCUUUAAGGAAGGAAAGGUGUCACACCCCAAAACCGAGAACGGCGGAAACGUUCUGGGGUGGAGGACGUCAUGUAAUGUAUCACAACAAUAUAAAGUAGUAAACAAGCAACAACAUCAUCCAUUGUAUUAAUAGUAAAAUUUUAAAUUACAAGUGUAUUCUUUCAUAGUAUAAGACAACAUAAUAACUAAUCAAAAUAAAAGAGGAGUCUUGAUUUCUCCGUCUUCACAAAACCUGGUCGUCGUACCUGUCUAUUUGUGACUUGAGAAUACAAGUUAUUUUGAAAGCGAGUAUCAGCAAUAAAGCUGGUGAAUUCAUAAGUAUUAAUGUGUCUUUGAUUUGUAAAACUUGUAAUGAAUGUCUUGACAUUGUUUUGAAAGAAAGUUCGUAUAAGUAUGUAAAGGUUUGUAAUUAAUGGAAAGCGUUUGAAUAACCCUAGAAAUCCCUGUGAUCCCUAUAAAAGAAGUCUUCUACCAAGACCCUACUGUUUUGAAAGUAAGCAUCUCUGUAAAUGUGAUGGUUUUUCCUUCUUUAACUAUUAGUAUAAAACUAUAAUAUACCUCAUCGUUUAUGUGCAUGAGUCACAUUAUAAAGGUAAAAAGGAAAUUAGUUAUCUAUAUCAAAUAUAUCCUACCUCGUCGAUCAUGUGAAUGUGUCACAAAGUAAAGGAAGAAAUAAUAUAAUAACCUAAGUAUUAUACUUUUGUAAUAGGAUAACUAACAGUGUUAACUUAAGACAUCAGUAGAUGUACAUUUACCUCUGUAGCUAACGGCUGGGUGUAGGAAUAGUUAGUCCCUUAAAAUAUACCUAUAAUGGUAUCAACCGAAGACAUCCGUAGAUGUGCAUUUACCUCUGUAGCUAACAGAGGUUCUAGGAAUGGUUAGUCCCGCAAAGUAUCCUUUGGAACGAGAAUAUAAAGUCCAAUCUAUCUCGUCGAUUAUGUGUAUGUAUCACAAAAUAAAGAUAAGAAGGAGAAUUAUAUAUAACAGUAUCUACACAUAUAAUAUGUAAUAGUAACUCGCCAUAUAACAUCUACGUAAAAGUAUUCAUGUAAACGUACUCAUGUAAGUGUAUCUAUGUAAACGUACUCAUGUAAGCGUAUCUAUGUAAACAUACUCAUGUAAGCGUAUCUAUGUAAACGUACUCAUGUAUCAUGUAAUGUACUAGUAUAGAAUCAUGAAUGAACUGACUCUUUUGUGGUUCCCUGUACUUGGAAUAGUAAGUGGUAUCUCCUAACUAUACCUAUAAUAGUUACUAAUCAUGUACGUUUAUAACCUGAAGUAUUCCUUUCCUACCCAAAGGUACUGAACUGACAGAGGAAAAGUUUUUUGUCUCUAUAUGUAUACAUGAUAUAUAACUGAUAGUUAAACGACCUUCAGACGGAUACCCGAUACCCUACCAGACUACAUCCCAACGGGGAAAAAGAAAUAAAGCGGGUUAGCCUUCCUAAGUCUUUUAAACAUUAUUUAUAUAACUAUACCUAUACAGGCAUGCAAUUGACAAUAUAAAAGCAUAUAAGGAGUUUUAUAAAACCUUUGAAAAAGAUUAGUAUUUAAGAAAAGAUCGACUUGAUGUCAGUUUAUAAAACGGUUUGGAAGUAUUUGUUUGACAAAAACAGUUUAAGUAUAAAGGAACCUUUGUUUGAAAUACAAUGUAACAAAGUUUGAAAUGAACACACAAUGUUUAAUAAACAGUUUAAUAAAGUGUUUUAAACACCUAAAACCUUUUAAGAUAAACAUUUGAAGAAAUCUGAUUGGUAAAACGGUUACGUAAAGUAACGCCAUUUACAUGUUAGUUAUUAAUCACAUGUGAUUGAUAUAAUAACUAAACAUGAUUCAACUUGUAUUCCCCCCUAUAAAGCAUUUAUAAACAUUUAACAACAUGUAAAAGGUUCAUUUAAGGGGGGUAUGAACUCACUUGAUUGAUUGGGAGAAAGCGAGAUGAUAAUCGAGCAGAACUUCGACUUGGAAAAGUUGAUUUUCUCGGAAAUCUCGGGAAUGUCAGGAACCUCGGGAAUCUCGGGAACGAAAAACCUUCCUUCAAAACUUGAAGGUGAAAACCGGGGCUUUGGGAGGGUUUCGGGGGCUUAAACGCAGAGUUCCGGCGCGAGAAAGAAGAGAACUACGCAAUUGAACUCGGAGCCCUUGAAAUCUAUUUAUAGGGCCAUUUUNNNNNNNNNNNNNNNNNNNNNNNNNNNNNNNNNNNNNNNNNNNNNNNNNNNNNNNNNNNNNNNNNNNNNNNNNNNNNNNNNNNNNNNNNNNNNNNNNNNNNNNNNNNNNNNNNNNNNNNNNNNNNNNNNNNNNNNNNNNNNNNNNNNNNNNNNNNNNNNNNNNNNNNNNNNNNNNNNNNNNNNNNNNNNNNNNNNNNNNNNNNNNNNNNNNNNNNNNNNNNNNNNNNNNNNNNNNNNNNNNNNNNNNNNNNNNNNNNNNNNNNNNNNNNNNNNNNNNNNNNNNNNNNNNNNNNNNNNNNNNNNNNNNNNNNNNNNNNNNNNNNNNNNNNNNNNNNNNNNNNNNNNNNNNNNNNNNNNNNNNNNNNNNNNNNNNNNNNNNNNNNNNNNNNNNNNNNNNNNNNNNNNNNNNNNNNNNNNNNNNNNNNNNNNNNNNNNNNNNNNNNNNNNNNNNNNNNNNNNNNNNNNNNNNNNNNNNNNNNNNNNNNNNNNNNNNNNNNNNNNNNNNNNNNNNNNNNNNNNNNNNNNNNNNNNNNNNNNNNNNNNNNNNNNNNNNNNNNNNNNNNNNNNNNNNNNNNNNNNNNNNNNNNNNNNNNNNNNNNNNNNNNNNNNNNNNNNNNNNNNNNNNNNNNNNNNNNNNNNNNNNNNNNNNNNNNNNNNNNNNNNNNNNNNNNNNNNNNNNNNNNNNNNNNNNNNNNNNNNNNNNNNNNNNNNNNNNNNNNNNNNNNNNNNNNNNNNNNNNNNNNNNNNNNNNNNNNNNNNNNNNNNNNNNNNNNNNNNNNNNNNNNNNNNNNNNNNNNNNNNNNNNNNNNNNNNNNNNNNNNNNNNNNNNNNNNNNNNNNNNNNNNNNNNNNNNNNNNNNNNNNNNNNNNNNNNNNNNNNNNNNNNNNNNNNNNNNNNNNNNNNNNNNNNNNNNNNNNNNNNNNNNNNNNNNNNNNNNNNNNNNNNNNNNNNNNNNNNNNNNNNNNNNNNNNNNNNNNNNNNNNNNNNNNNNNNNNNNNNNAACAAGAAUAUGAAUAUGAACACUUUCAAGAAUCAAAGUCACAUUAAACAUGUAAUUUUGAUAACUAGUUGUUGUAAAUGAAUUAGAAAAUACAUUACACCAUCUAAAACAAGUUUUCAAGUACCAAAACAGUUUAGGGUAAUGUAUCCAAUCCAUUUCCAGCAACUAAAGUCGAAAUUCUGCACUCUGUCGACCCUACUCGCCGAGUGCAUGAACCUACUCGGCGAGUAGGUUGAAGAUACAAGUGGACUCGGCGAGUCCCCCCAUGGACUCGGCGAGUCCANNNNNNNNNNNNNNNNNNNNNNNNNNNNNNNNNNNNNNNNNNNNNNNNNNNNNNNNNNNNNNNNNNNNNNNNNNNNNNNNNNNNNNNNNNNNNNNNNNNNNNNNNNNNNNNNNNNNNNNNNNNNNNNNNNNNNNNNNNNNNNNNNNNNNNNNNNNNNNNNNNNNNNNNNNNNNNNNNNNNNNNNNNNNNNNNNNNNNNNNNNNNNNNNNNNNNNNNNNNNNNNNNNNNNNNNNNNNNNNNNNNNNNNNNNNNNNNNNNNNNNNNNNNNNNNNNNNNNNNNNNNNNNNNNNNNNNNNNNNNNNNNNNNNNNNNNNNNNNNNNNNNNNNNNNNNNNNNNNNNNNNNNNNNNNNNNNNNNNNNNNNNNNNNNNNNNNNNNNNNNNNNNNNNNNNNNNNNNNNNNNNNNNNNNNNNNNNNNNNNNNNNNNNNNNNNNNNNNNNNNNNNNNNNNNNNNNNNNNNNNNNNNNNNNNNNNNNNNNNNNNNNNNNNNNNNNNNNNNNNNNNNNNNCCAUGGAGCAUCCUAUGGGUAGAACCCAACUUGAUAAUCCAUGGAGCCUCUUAGCCCACUAUACAAGAUAUGAAUGAUUUACAUAAUCAACCCAUAUAUUUAAUUAGUUAUCCUUUGAUCACUUAAUUAAUUCCAAAUUAAUUCUUUGAUCAAACUAAUCAAAUAAUAUUAUUAAUAUAUUAGAACUUAUAAUAUAUUAAUAAUCUCCAAGUGAUAUUUCUCUCAUUUAGUCUAUCCAAUUGCAUGGUGCCAUGCAACCCAAAUGGACCAUGCCGGGUCGGGUCAAGUACACCCCAGAAAUAGUUAUGGACUUAGACACCUUAUCCAACACCUUACCCCUUCACAUUUUCAACCAUCUAAAAAAUCUAGAGGAAUAGCCAAAAACUCUCAAUCCUGCUCUCCUCUCUCCUCUCUCAUCCUCUUGCUUGUUUGGGUGUGAACCAUUAGAGACGUGAUACAUAUGACGCUUGCUCUCAAGAUUUCAAGAAGACUAGGAUUUCAUUAUUAUUGCUAUAUAAGAAUCACGGUAUGUUUUCUUAACCUUAUUUUUAUAGAUUUCGAAAAUAUACUAGUGCAAUUAAAGUUUUCCAUUUGAUGUUCAAAAGUUGUAUGUUUAAUUAGAAAAAACAUAGAUCCAAGAAUUAGGGUUGCAUGCACUCAUCAAANNNNNNNNNNNNNNNNNNNNNNNNNNNNNNNNNNNNNNNNNNNNNNNNNNNNNNNNNNNNNNNNNNNNNNNNNNNNNNNNNNNNNNNNNNNNNNNNNNNNNNNNNNNNNNNNNNNNNNNNNNNNNNNNNNNNNNNNNNNNNNNNNNNNNNNNNNNNNNNNNNNNNNNNNNNNNNNAUAUAUACAGAGAGAGAGAAAGAGAAAGAGAAAGAGAGAGAGAGAGAGAGAGAGAGAGAGAGAGAGAGUUAAGUUCAAAUGUUUAAAGUAAUUAUUGUGUUAUUGUGUGGUUGAUGUGGACCAAUCAAAAAUUUAAAAAAUAAAUAAAUAAUCAAACAAAUAAAUAAGGGUAAUUUAAUAAUUUGAUAAAUAAUUUCUAUAAAUACACUCCUAUAAUUAUGCUAAUUACUUUGACCUAGCUUUAUCCUUUUUUUUAAACAAUCAACAACUAAUGUAUUUUAUCUCAUUCAAAAUUAGGAUGAUCCUCCCUAACGGCCUAACCUAGCUCCAAGCAGAUGAAGUAUAGGAUGACAAGUGAUAGGAGGAAAGGAGCGGCAAUUUCAAGCUUUUCCGGUGAGUGCUUCAUCAUCUCCGCUAUCUUCCCCUUCUUCCACUUAGUCGGAGACGCCUUCAACAUCCUUCUCAUCUCUUAUUAGUUCCUUCUAUCUUCUCUUCAGAUCUACCAUCCCUUUUCCCCUUUAACCAGAACCCCAUUCGCUCUCGAUCAAACCCCAAUUCUCCAUCUGUCCCCUCUGCAACUUCAACGACGACACAACUUCUCUAUCAGGUAAGUUUUAGUUUUUUUUCUAGGAAUUGCCAAAUUGGUCUCUCAAUGAUUUGAUCUACUAUUUUCAAACUAAAAUCUUUAGUUUGUUUUAACCUAUUGAUUGGGGUUGUUUGUACACACAAUGUACAACUGUUUAUCGUUUCAAUCGAGCAUUUAAAUUGACAGCUUUUGGUGGGGUCGACAACACGAUUUCAACAAGAUUUGUUCUCCCUGAGAUGAAAAAACUAUCAACUGGGGUUAAAUUUGGCUCUUUUGUUGUAUUGUUGGUUAGCUGUGGUAUGACAUUUGUUUCAAUUUUGAAUUUUUAUCUGCUUUUGCAGCUGAUACCACGAAUCUUCAUACGCAUAUACCCUUUACAAUUUUGUUUCACGAGAGAGGUGUGGAGCAAGCUUGGUCAUAUGCAGCAGGUGUGUUUCUAUAUAAGUUUUUGAUUUGUUCAAGACAAGUAAAUUACAAGCUUUUGAAUGGUGGUACAGUUAUUAAUAUGAUGUGUAGGUGUGUGAGCACCAGGUGUUUGACAAUUUCUCUGAGAGAAAUAAUUUAUCUGUCGUAUAGUGUCAUAUUAUUUUCUUAGAUUAUUGCUUUUAGGAUACAAUAUCCUUGUACGUUUUUUGGUAAUGCUUAGAUCUUUUAGUUUCAAAUCUUAUUAUUUGCUGCUGUUUGAUUUUAGAGGAAUCGAGUAAAGAGCAAGUCGAAAGAACUUAAUCAUAUUUGCACUACUACAGAUGGUGGCGAAUUCCAAUUCUGUGGGAAUUAAAUCUCGAUAUUUCUUUUGUGAUUUAUGUAUUUUCUACAAUUGCAGUUCUAUCGGGAUAGAAUUACGAAUUCCAAUUCUAUUGGAAUGGAAUCUUGAAUUCUGAUUCUGUCAGAAUAAAAUCUUGAAGAUGAACAUUGUAUGGGAUGAAGAUGAACAAUGACCACCAAUCUUCCAAAAAGAAUGGAUUAUUCUAACAUAAUAAUAUACAAUGUAUUGAAAAAAAAAUAUAUGUAAUAGUAUAUUCUGGUAGAAUGAUUUAUAUAUUGUGUUUUUUGUUAUUAAUAAGUGUAACAUUCUCAUGUAAUUCCUAACAAUUGUUACCCGUAUUCUAUAAGAAAUUAUGUAUUUUUUGUUUUUAUUCUUCAAUUGAUUGUUCAAAAGUUUGUUAUUCUAUAAGAAGUUGUUCAAGUCAUGAUCAAGAAAUAGGUUCAAGAAUAUUUUUAUUAUUUAUGGUUCAAGAAUAUUUUUAUUUUUGAAUAUACUCAUAAACAUAUUCUGCCAGAAUGUCUGAAUCAAAAUAAUUAUAAUUCGUAAAAUCGGAUUUUUAAAAUUAAUAGAAUCUAUGAUCCCUUAAAAUAUGCGAUUUUCCUUUAUUAAAUCUAUAUUAAUUGACUAAAAUACCCUUGUAAUUAAAUUAGAUGAUAUUUUUCAAUUAUAUUUAAUUCAAAAAUAUAUAUUAAUCACUUUCUUAAAAUAAGUAAAAUNNNNNNNNNNNNNNNNNNNNNNNNNNNNNNNNNNNNNNNNNNNNNNNNNNNNNNNNNNNNNNNNNNNNNNNNNNNNNNNNNNNNNNNNNNNNNNNNNNNNNNNNNNNNNNNNNNNNNNNNNNNNNNNNNNNNNNNNNNNNNUAUAUAUAUAAAUCUUUUGUUUCAACUAAUUUAUUUUGUUACUAGUCAUACAUAUUCCACAAGAGUUCAACACCCUUAUUUGUCACAACUAUGAUAUACUCGAUCAGGUUCACUACCUGUGUGUAUUGGGUAAGUCGUGAUAGAUUAAAGAUCUAUAAAUUUAAAACCUGACAUUGUUAAUAUAAAACAAAAUACACAUCAGACCCCAGCCAGAAACAUAUAUUAAAAGAAAAUGAAGGAGGGGAAGAUGAGGUGAUACAACUUGUUUUGUCUCGUAGGAUAUUCGGGUUUUGGCAAUGUACUUUGUCCACAAUCUCAAGAGUCAUCAUGUUAAUCAUAUUGUAAAAUACAUCAAAAUGAAACCAUAUUUCUAGCUAAACGAGAUCAAGAUCACUAAUAUUUCUUACCAAAACGACGAAGGAUCAUCGUAUUUGAUAUAUCUUAAGAGUAAUAUGUGGGGUACUAAAACUUAUUGGGAUCAUCGUAUUCGAUAUCUAUUAUACAAUUACACAUAUAUAUUACUGAUAAAUAAUAUUCAAAAGUUUGCAUACUAAACAUAGCCUUAAUUAAGACUUAAAAGAAACUAAAGCACUACGCGAUCAUGUGAUGUCCUUUUUCACAUAUAACUUGAAAGGAAAUUAAAAUGGAGAGAGGAUAAGAACUGGAUUUAGUAUAUCACAUUAUUGACGUGUGGAAAUCGUGUGCCCUCUCAUUCUUAUGGAAGAAUAAAACGAAGUUACUCAAGUACGGUGCACAAAUGAGGUUAAAAGUGAUGACAUCCACAACAUAUAUACUAGCAGCUUUCCAUCAUACACAGGCCCGUCCCAGAGGGUGGACGAUAGGGACGACUGUCUAGGGCCCCAAAUUCUUUAUGGAAAUUGUUAUAUUUAGAAGAUAAUACAAGUAAUUUUCUUUUAAUUAUUGAUUUGUUAUUAAAAAAAAACUUGAUGAUAUUUGUGUAUUUUAAAAGCUCAUUUUUUUCUCUCGCCCUAGGCCCAAAAUAUGUUUGGAACGGCCAGAUGAUACACAAAUAUGACCACGUGGGACUAUGUAAAAGUCUUUCUGGGAACUUUACUGUUGAAUUGACUCAUCGCGCAAGAGAGGAAAACUGUUGGUGCUCACUUCACCCAUGCACGCUUGUUAGUAGACCCCAUGAUGGGUGAACUUAUACAACUAUCCAGUAUAGGCUAUGUAACACUGUAAACAUGGAUUCUUAACAUGUUAAAGUGAAUGCUUUUAUUUAUAUAUUAUCUAAGGAAAGAAGUGAUACAUCUUUCUAAAGAAUGUCACCUCAUAUAUGAACAAUAGGGACUAAAAGAAUCCCAGUUGUGUAUUAGUUGAGGCAUAUACUAAAAAUUUCAUCAAAAAAACUAUCUUUUUCUACAGCUAGUAGUAAGCACCACCACUUAUGGUGGGGGUGGUGGUUGAAUUGGAUGUGCUAUUGAUAAAAUUUAUGGGGUUGGGGUUAAAUCAGGUACCCUCCAAUUGGGACUCGGUCCGUAACUUUAGGACAUUGUCCUUAUUUAUUCAAUUUCACUUUCCCAAAAUCUCCUUGGCUUUUGUCUUCAACACUUAUGAAAGAAUGAAAGUUCCAAAUGACAUCAAGGGUAUAAUAGGUAACACAAAGAGUGAAAAGCAUGACACACAAAAAACAACAAAGAUAUGAUGGUAAGGUGGGAAGCCAGGGGGAUCUUUUUUUUUUUUUUACCUCCAAUCAUUUAUUUCAGACCUUCUACAGUCCACACAUUCCCUCUACUGUGUUGCAAAAGUUAAAGCAACUGACAUUGUCAAUUAAUGUCAUGGUAAAAUGGUAAUAUUAAAUCUAAUCCUAUAAAGCUGAGAAAAAUGUCGUUACAAAUGUUAACAUGUAGACAUCUUUGUAUAAACACCAAUAAACAAACGACAACACAUUAAAUAUGAAAAACUGAAACACAUAAGAAGAGCAAUUAGAGGAAAAGAUGGAACAUCGCAAGAACAAUUGAAGGACAAGACAAGAAAGAACAAUCUAUUCUGUCUAAUGACAUUUUUGACCACUUAGUCUAAUCACAUAUGGUUUUACAAGAAGGGCAUUAAUUUCAUUCCAUUGAAGUUAACUUUCAUAUGCAUGAAUGAUGGUUGAUCAGAAAUGUUUAUUUAGAAGUACGUCACGAUUUUAAUAUUAUAAUUUUCUUAUAUUACAUAUCUUAUGGUUAUAAAUAUAUUUUUUUUAUUUAUUUUGUGCCCCUAAAUCUUAUAUUCAAUCUCAAAGAAUACAAUUUAUCUUUAAAAUUAAUCUAAAACAUAUUGUUCAGAUGUCACCAAAAACCCCAUUCGUUCCCAGGAGAUAUUAUAUGGUAAUACAUCACAUCACAUCACAAUUCGUCUGGCUUGACCACUUACCAAUUAAUCACAAUAUGCUGCUUUUAUUUGCUUUCAAAAUGGCGUUGAAAACUAAUCAUUUGCUAUCGUGGGUUAACUUAAUGAAAUAAUGACUAAGAAACACCAACUUUUACCAUAAUGUGCCAUUGAUUGGUGCCUUGCGUCACAAGAAACAGUGAUUCCUAUUUCAUAAAGAUUCAGUAAUUAAAACGGAUACAUAUUUAUUUUAGUAUAUUUUGUUAGCAAAGUGGUCAAAUGAGUACCUUGUUUAAUUAAUAAUCUUUCCACUUGCAUAAAAAGGACUUGUCUUCUCAUGUUUCCUUUUCUUUUUUUAAGCUUUAUAAUCCUAUCCACAAUAAAAAUAGAAUCCUCAGCAAUUUGCCAAAAGAAAAUAUCUGGGGACAACGACAAUCAUGUAUUAUGUUGACCAGGGUACAUGCCAUCUAAAGAUCAAAAGGUUAAAAAUAUUUACAAGAAGACAGUUGUGGAUUUAGAAAAUAUUUUAACUGGUGUCACAUCGCACAUAAAACCAGGAUAAACCAAACUUAUGAUGGAAACUAUUAAUGGAAUUGAGAGUUUUUUCUAUAUAACACUUGAAAUUUUUAACUUACUUUCUGUAGUAUCCUCAAUUUUCUAAUUGUCUUUUUAUUUUUUGUUCAAUAUGUAAUAAAAUUUGUAACCCUCUCUAAUAAAUAAAGGUUUUUUUUUUUUGUCAUUUGUCACACUCUCAUUCAAUUUGUCAAAUGUUAUUUUGUGGUUAAUUUUAAUUAAUUUUUUUUCACAUGUCAUUUUUUUAUUUUAUUAAAUUUCACAUAAUAUUUUAAUAUAAUAGUUGCAUUAAAAAUAGUAAUAAAUGAAUAUCAAUUUCAUUAAUAAACUUACCUUUUAAUUUCUAAAUUCUCAAAAUUAAAGUUUAUUAGUUUCUUUUACUUAUUUAAAUUAGUAUUUGUUUAAAUUUAAAAGAUAAAAAACAUUUCUACUAUAAUAAUUCAAUAUUUUUCUUAUUUUCUUAUAAAUUCUAAGUUCUUAAAUAUUUUCAUCUUUAUAUUUAAUUNCCCCCCCUUCAUUAUCAGGUUCAAGUCUCAGCAUCACCUUCUUCCAUUUACACACUGUAAUUUACCUACCCUAUUAUCCGAACAUGUGACAGGUUAGUGGGGGCACCGAGGGUAUGACCUAAUGCGUAUACCUUUUUUUUAAGAGUAUAUCGUCAGGUAGUACCCUACUCAUCCACAAUCAAGGAGCCAUAUAUGCUUCUACUGGUGAAUUCAUAAUGCUAGGACCCUCGCAACCUUUUUUAAAUACUAUAUAAACUCCUUACCUCAUCUUCUCCUUCGCCUUCAUUUCCAAUCACAACAUCCAUCUUACCAAAUUUGUGUAAAUAUUAUAGCCAUGCAAGCCAACGAGCUUACUGAUUCCCACUACCUUCUUCCUCCAAACCCAGAUCUCGAUCAUGACACAACAUACUUAACCAUGAACCUAUACAACUCACCAAUCAUGCAAUUCAAUCUCAACACACCCUCAAACCCAUUCUACAAUCUUCACAUGAACCCCCAAUAUCAUGAAAUUAACCCGUAUUUUUCCGAUGAAGCAGAUGAUCGACAACAGAGAAACCUCAUCAAUGAAAGGAAGCAAAGGAGAAUGAUAUCUAAUAGAGAGUCAGCUCGUAGGUCACGCAUGCGAAAACAGAAGCAUUUAGAUGAACUUUGGUCGCAGGUGAUUUGGCUUCGUAAUGAAAAUCAUCAACUUGUUGACAAAUUGAAUAAAUUUUCAGGGACACAUGAUCGAGUUCUUCAAGAGAAUGCUCAGCUUAAAGAGGAAGCUUCAGAGCUUCGUGAAAUGAUCAACAAGUUGCAGCUUAAUGGAACUUAUCCUAGUUUGAUGGACUUAGAUGAUAUCAAUAGCAACGCGCUUUACCUUAGAACUGAAUCUUCAAACCCUUCGAUCUCUAUCUCAAGUUCCUCGGAGUUCUUCUAGACAUGAGUCUUUUCUCUUUAUCAAUGAUCUCUAAGUCAGUUACUAUGUAUUCCAAGAGUUCGAAGAGGAAGUAGCUGAAUAAAUCUUUAUUUUUUUAAUAUAGCGUAUGAUAUCACAUGUUUUAAAUCUAUCUUGUAAAAAAUUGGGAAACUGGAACAGAUUCUUUCUUGAUUUGAAACCCCACCAAGCAUAAAAGACUUUUUUGCAGAAAUAAUUAAGAACACAUGCUAAAUAAAUUAGUAAAAAGGUUAGAAAUUAAUAUCAGUAUAAAUAUAAAUACUUUUGAGGUGGACAGGAUAAACAAGAACAAGAUAGCUAGAGAAAAACUGCCUCUAAAAAGAAGAACAUGUGAAAAGGUCCACCAAGGUAUAUAUCACCUUAAAAUUACUACAAUCAAACCUUUUAGUCUUGAACUGAUUCUGCUUGAGGUUUUUGACCAUGGUGAUUGUGGAUUCAUCAUUCAUGGCUGAAUGUUGACACAUGGAAGUGUAUGUAUCACAUUGUUUAUGCGAAUGAAGGUGGUUUAUGCUAGUGUACAAGUUUUUUUUUUUUUUUUUUACAUUUUAUCAGUUCAAUUGGCUAAUCAAUAUGCCUCCUUAGUUAUUAGGUGUCGGCUUUCUCAGUUUUUUUUACAGGCAUAAAGAACAUUGUAAGUCUGAUAUCAAGUGCAAUUGCAACAGAGUUAAAUCUAUACAAGUACGUACAAGAAAACAGUAGUAGCUAGCCCUACUCACUUCUCAUAAAGGUAAUUUAUCAAGUAAGAUUUUCACAAGUUUUGGUUAGCCAACUUGAUUAAAAGGUGUCUUUCUAACAAAAAGUUAUAGGUUCAUUAUACUAACUUGCCCUUCAAAAAAAUAGAAAAUAAAAUGAAAUCAAGUGAAAUUUUGUUCUCUCUCUAUUUCUCAAGUAAGUUUGAUGAUUGACAUUAUAUGCUUGAAGUUGGUAGUAGAUCGUACUAAACUAAAUAAAGUAAAAUACAACAUGAGGGCAUCAAUAAUUCAUCUACUAGUGAAGAGUAAAGAGAGACACUAGAAAGUGAACCAAUCAGUAAACUCAGUGAUCGAGUCUGGAAAUUCGACACAUCGCCACAAACAAAAAGCUCCAAAGUUACAUAGAUGAGACCAUAGCACUUAAAAUGUGGCCUCUACCACAAUGUCUUUUAGGCAAAGGCAGCAAAGUAGUGCAACUUUUGACAUCAUUUCAGUAUUAUAUAUACUCAAUCAAUCAUACUUGCCAUGAAAUCUUGAAUAUCAAAGAAAUAUUAAGCUUUUUACACACGGAACGAAAGGUCCUAUGCAAGCAAUGGUUUCGUUCGUUGUGUGCUAAUUUUUCAUGACAUUUCUUUCAAACUUUUGUUUAAAGGUUUACUCCAUGCUUCUGGUUGAGGAAAUGAAGAUAAUUCUUCAUCAGAAAUUCCGAAUACUAUACAAAAGAAAUUAUGGAAAGAAAAACCCAUCAUUCAAAGUAAACUCAAAGAUUUUUGUUUGAUAUCAAAAACUCGAACAGAAAGAAAGGAAAUUUGUUGUAUUUGUUUGUAGAAUUGUAUUGUUACUUGAUGCCUCGUUAGGCUUUUGUAAGAAAUCAUGACAUUUAUUGGAAAGCUGAAAGAGCUAGAAUGACUAGUUGGCAUUCAAUCAAAUAAACUAAAAUAUAAUGCGAUGACACUUUUGGUCAAGAACUAUUCGAUAAGAUUCGAUAAGAAAAUGAAACUAUUUAAUCAUUAAAUAAAUCUCAUGUAGGUUUUACAGUAAAUAAUUUUUGCAAUAUGGUCCAUUGCAUAUUGUAUUUUAUAGACUCCAAUGUAAAAAAAAAUUGAUAUUGUUGUAUGAAAAGUAAAAUGAUAAUGCGAUAAUCCAUUAAACUCUAUAAAAUUCAAAUUAUUUUAUAUGCCUGUAAGAUCCUAAGGAAGAUGACAAAUAUGAAAUUAAGAAUCAAUGCAUAACCGAUAAGACACGAUAUAAUGUUUAAACACAUUUGUAUAGAUAAUAGUGAAGUACCAAAAUGUAGAAGCAUGUGUUUGCUUACUACAUUACUCUCUCUCUCUCUCUCUCUCUCUCUCUCUCUCUCUCUCUCCAAUAUAAAUCUAUACAAUGGGAGCUCUUUCAAACCUAUACACGGUAUACUAUACAAGUAUAUAUAUAUAUAUAGGGAAGCUCCACCCAUAACCAUAUUAAAUAAGGGAAAGCAUAAGACACCAUCCAAUGAAGAGCUUUGUUGUGACAUCCUCAUUUUCACAGCCAAAAAAGACCGAUUUUCGUUUAUAUUUUAUAAAAAUCAAAUUACCUCUUUUAAUAAAAAUGUUGCGGAAUUUGUUCGCAGUAAAACAUGAUAAAUAUGUUAUCAAAGCAUUUCCGAAGAAAAGUAUUUUUAUUCAUUUUAAAACAUUUAGGAUGUCAUCGUCAAUACAGUAAUAUAAGCAUAAACAGAACUUACAUUCAUUACUAGUGAUUUAUAUCUCCUUAAUCUCUCAGUGUAAUAUGACUUCAUAUCAACACCUGUGAUAUAAAUAAACUGAGUGGGUCAGGUUGGGAACCUGGUGAGUACAUAGAGUUUUCAACCCACAAUAAUAUAAUUAUUAUGUUAAACAUCAAGCAAUCAACCCAAUUACCCAUCCUCGUUGUCUUCUUUACUCUUAAGGAUCUACCCUAAGAUUCAGCUAUUCCUUGUUUGUUCAUUCCUAAGGAGUAUCCUAAGGAAUCGGCACUAAGUCUGCAUAGUCGUCAGGGUUUAUCUUAUUUAUUGACAGUAUCAUUUUGAGAGUCCACUCGCAAUAUCUGUCAAUGGGUUUUUAGAGUAUACCAGGUGAACACAUCGUUCACAACACCUACAGGUUAUGAGUCUGCUAGUGUUCCACUAGACUGUCUAGAAUAGUCUGUAGUUGUCAUUCAUACUCUGCUAGAUGACGGGGUCAUCGCUUGAGUCAUCGUUUGGCUCAUCAUUUUGGCCCAUCGCUUUGGUUCAUCGCUUUGCACCAUAUUUUAUCACUCAUAUAUCAUCGCUCAUCAUUCAUCUCAUCUUUCAUCGCUCAUCAUUUAUCUCAUCUUUCAUCGUUCAUCAUUUAUCUCACCUCUAAUCUACCCAUGUUUUACCCAACACAUUUUGUAGAUAUAAAAUACAUAUACAGUUUAGAUCAUUUAAGAACAUGUAUAAAACGUUUCAUCCAGCAUAGACAGCAAGUAUUCAGACAGUAUACACACAUAACACCUAAUUUAUAUAAAAUAUUUCAUAUCUAUGUGUAAGAUGAAAGUAAUUAUGCACUCACCUGAUAAGGUGGUGACUAUGUACUCGGACAGCGCUUCAUUUACUUCAAAUCAAUUUUUUUCCUUGGAUAAAACCUAGGAUCAUUACCACUAGAGUUUAGUCUAACAUUUACCGAGACUAAUUAAUAGUCUUGCUAUUAUUAAUAUUAUAUAAGCGUUAAAACAAUACUCUUCACCCACUAUGUACAGACAGGGCCAGACAUGGAACACCGGAGGGCAGGAUCAUUUUGGCAUAUAGCACUUCUGAAAUCCAGCAACCCUAUUCGGCCCUUUAAACCAGAUUUGUCGUACCGCGAGUGGUUAAAAAUAUAUUAUAACGACGCUUAUAUAACUCAUAAUAAUAGCCCAAAUAAUUAUUAUAAGAUCCUAAUAACAUUCUUAUAUUUAAAUAAAAGCAAUAUUAGAAAUAGGGUAGGCGUAGCUCACUUACAGCGGGUUUUUAUUAAAAAUCGGGUUUCGCUAGAGCAGCGUUCCGAGCCGAAAGCUUUUCUUCUCGGAGCUGUCGGGCGCUCCGGGGCUUCCUUCUCGUGCUAGGGAGGUUCCGUAGACUUGGUAGGGGUUUAAGGAGGCUAGAGAGAAGUUAGAGAGAGAAAGAAAGGUUAUGGUGUGAAGAAAUUAUGAAGGAUUCAUCCUUUAUUUAAAGGGAUUUAUUGUAGAGUAGUCCCUAAGCUUCGUCUGUAUCUUCCGCGUACGAGCUCUGUUUUCUAUUUUCUUUAUAUACACGCGUUGGUAUUUACGAGUACUAUAACUUUCAUUUAGACCUCUUCGGCUAAUUCUCAUUUCAUCUCCGAUUUACAAAACUGUAUCGAAUUUAUCGCGCUCGAAGAGUAGGGACUAAGUUUCGUCCAUAUCUUUUGCAUACGAGCUCUAUUAUCGACGUUCUUUAUAUCCACACGUUGGUAUUUACAAGUACUACAACUUUCAUUUAGAUCCCGUCGGCUAAUUCUCACUCUAUCUCAGAUUUACAAAACUGUAUCGAAUUCGUCGCGCUCGAAGAGUAUGGACUAAGCUUCGUCCAUAUCUUUCGCAUACGAGCUCCAUUUUCGACUUUCCUUUUAUUAUUCAACUCCUAUUAACGAUAUCUUCAUUUCUCGUUUAGAUUAUUUUGGCUAAAAAUAGACCGAUCUAAAAUUCAAAUUUCGGGCUAUGCACUGCUAUGCUAAAUCUUAGAAAAAUCAUAACUUCCUCAUACGAAGUCAGAUUUGGACGUUCUUUUUAUGCACACUCUCGGUUUAACAUAUACUAUGACUUUCAUUUAGAUCACUAAGGCUAAAAAGUAUUUUAUCGUAUAUUCACUUUUUUACGAUUCCCGGUGCUGUGCCGGUUUAGCCGUAAAACUUCGACGGGUCAUAACUUCUUUGUUAUAACUCAGAUUUCCACGUUCUUUAUAUGUACGGAACCCUUGUGACAUAUACUAUAAAUUGGUCAAUAUUAUUUAUUCUAAAUUAUCUUAUAUCAAAAAUGUCAUUUUUGACGCUCACUGACUCUAAAUUGACUAGCCCGAAUCUGCGGGCAGUACAUUUGCACUCUAACAUUCUCCCUCUCAAAACUUAGAAUGGAUGACCCGACUUCAAUUUCUAAAAAGAGCAACUUUGCUAAAAACACCUCAAGCGUGACAUAUGGAGAAGCAAUCAAAAAAUCUUCAAGUCUUCAAUGAUAUUCUAAUCUGGGUUCUAGAAUAUGAAACAUUACGAUCCAAAGCAACAAGAAUCAUAAGGCAAUUUAAGGUCCAUGAGCAUCCAAAACCCAAGGCGAAUUACACAUCCUUGAGCUUAAAAGCACACCCCAAAAAUCUUCAUAAAGAGCAAACCCUUCCUAAAAACUGAAACUAUUCAUAAUUAACUCCCCCUCAAGGUCACAUCGGUCUUCAAUCAUAAAACAUUAUUCUCAAAAUAUGAAUAUCCAAAAACUUGCGAUUUUUGGAUACCCAAAUCAUAAUCUCUCCCCCUUCCAUAAUCGAAGUACGAUUAUAUAACACCAAAUGGGAAUGAUAAAGUGUUCAAUCUGGAAUCGGCAAUAAAAUCAUCCCCCUCGAUAUGUGACGAAAAACGAGACAUCGAAUCUGGAAAAGUCAAAAAAAAUAUGUCAAUUUUUCAAAACAUUAACUUCCCAGAUCAUUUUUCACCUGAAAAUCAUGUAUUCUAUACAUGUUUUCGGAAAAGGUUUUGCAAAAAUAACAAUCUUGAAAUCCCCAAAAAAAUCUCCAAAAGUUGCAAAGAUUUUAAUUUUGGUGUAAAAAUUGAUAUUUUCAAGGACCAAAUGCAAAAAUACGAUAUCUUCCUCCCCAAAUUGGUUCCAAAUGCAAGAACGAAUAGUAGGCUUCCCAUACCAAGUGAACAAAUGUGAAUCACAUGCUUCCCAUACGAAGAUCGGUUCCGUUCUCAAACCAUAAAGAUCUUCCAUCAAAAGUCGAAUUGUAAUUUUCGCACAAUAAUAGUUCAAUCGUAAUUUUUGACCUUCCCAAAAAGCUUCAAAUUAGAUUCUCAAUCUUCCUUCCCAUUCGAUCACUCAACAUCCAAAUUCGACUACAAAGCUUGAUUUCGACCAUCAAUUUCCAGACUUGGUUAUCAACCCUCAAACCAUUCAACCCGAAAAUCUUUACUUCGAACCAUCGAUUUUCAAAAGCCUCGUCCUUCUAUAUCUGACUUUGAAUUGAAAUCCAAUCCUUCACUAUCGAAAAUUUAAUUUUUCACAAACCCAAUUUUCUUCCCGAGAAGCCAUUACUCUCACUUCUUAAUAUCGAAAAUUUGAUUUCGAUAAAGCAUUCAAGCAAACAGAUGAGAUGUCGAACCCAUUAAAGAAUUCCAAUUUUGACUUUUCUUGACCAUUCAUACACCUUGAAUUCGAUUGUUAGAAAGAAAGCAUUUGUGUGAUCUUUUUAACACCAAAAAGUACGAGUUGGAUGCAAGAAUGAGAGCACAUACGAGACCAUUACAGCACCGGUAACGAAAAUCAAUUGCGAGAAUCAAUGAAACCAAUAUUCGAUUACAAGCAUCUUGUGAGAGCUCUAAAACCUUCGUUUCGAUAAUCAUUCUAAGAGUGAAUCUUAUGUUCCACUCACGAAUAUGUUUCAAAUGCAAAAAUCCUAUUUUAACUUUUCGUUUGACUCAGAUAAACAGUUAUCGACAAACACCAAAAUCAUUUUUAUCAAAUCGAUUUUUAGAUUAAAAACACUGAUUCAACAAAUUCAUCAUGUCUUCAUCUAUUCUUCAGCGAAAAUCUUUUGUUCUUCAUCAACCAAUUCGAAAUUAGCACAGCUCCAUCACCAAAUUCCUUUAGCUUCCGAUAGAAAUCAUACAUGAAUAUCAUAUCAUCGCAUCAUUAUGAUCGUAAUUCUCAAAAACAAAUUGAUACAAAAAUCAAAAAUAUAUCGAUUAUACAUAAAAUCGAACGAUAAAGAUUAUGAUCAAUCAACGUAUUAGAUAAAACUUGAAGGAUAUUCGUGAUGAUCAACAAUUUCGAUGAUUUUAGAUUGUUUUGAAAAACAUGGAAGAAGAAAAGCGAUUAACGAUUAGAAAUUAGAAGAAAUCAUGAAUCAAACACAAAUCCAAUAUAUGGACAAGACAUAAAUCAAUCAAGCUCAAAAUCGUGAACAAAAGAGAAUCAUUGAAGUGAUAGAACACUAUUUGGGCUAGAAUGUGAGUAAUAAACAAUAAAAAAUCAAUAGAAUUAUUGGGCGAAAUCAAGAGAUAAUUGGAUCAACAAAUUUAGAAUUAAAAGCAAAAGGAUCUAAUGGAGAGACUUACCAAUGAUUCCAAAUCAUUUGGUCGAUUACGCGAAAUUGUUAUCAUCUAGGAUCGUUGAUCUUGAAAAUUUUGUUUAACCUUCAACAUUGAGCUCAGAUACCACAUCUAGGAUCCCAAGGAAGAUGAAAAAUGUGGAAUUAAGAAUCAAUACAUCAUCGAUAACACAUGAUCUAACGCUUAAGCACAAUUUGUAUAGAUAAUGGAGAAGUAAAAAAAGGAAAAGCAAGUGUUUGNNNNNNNNUAUAUAAAAAUGAAUUUUCUGUGUGUGUGUGUGUGUGUGUGUGUGUAUAUAUAUAUAUAUAUAUAUAUACAAAGUAUAUAUACAAGUAUAUAUAGCCAAGCUCAACCAAUAACCAUAUUAAAUAAGGGAAAGCAUAAGACACCAUCUAAUAGAAGUUUUGCACUCUAACAUUCUCCCCCUCAAAACUUAGAAUGGAUGACCCGACUUCAAUUUCUAAAAAGAGCAACUUUGAGAAAAACACCUCAAGCGUGACAUAUGGAGAAGCAAUCAAAAAAUCUUCAAGUCUUUAAUGAUCUUCUAAUCUUGGUUCUGAAAUGUGAGACAUUACAAUCCAAAGAAACAAGAACCAAGAGGCAAUUUAAGGUCCAUGAGCAUCCAAGACCCAAGGCAUACACGUCAUUGAGCUUAAAAGCACACCCCAAAAAUCUUCAUAAAGAGCAAACCCUUAAUAAAAACUGAAACAUUUCAGAAAUCGAAUCUGAAUUAUUUCAUAAUCAACUCCCCCUCAAGGUCACUUCGGUCUUCAAUCAUAAAGCAUUAUUCUCAAAAUAUGAAUAUCCAAAAACUGGCGAUUUCGGACACCCAUAUCAUAAUCUCUCCCCCUUUUAUAUUUGAAGUACGAUUAUAAAACUACAAAUGGGAGUGAGAAAGUGCUUAAUGUAGAAUUGGCAAUAAAAUCCUCCCCCUCGAUAUGUGAUGAAAAACGAGACAUCGAAUCCUAAAAAGUCGAAAAAAUUAUGUCAAUUUUUCAAAACUUUAACUUCCUGGAUCAUUUCUCACCUGAAAAUGAAUAAAUUCUAUACAUGUUGCCGGAAAAGGUUUUGCAAAAAUAACAAUCUUGAAAUCCCCAAAAAAUCUCCAAAAGUUGCAAAGAUUUUAAUGUCAGUGUAAGAAUUGAUAUUUUUCUGAAACUUUAUGGACCAAAUGUGAAAAUACGAUAUCUUCCUCCCCAAAUUGGUUUGCAAGAACGAAUAGUAGGCUUCCCAUACCAAAUAAGGGAAAGCCUAAGACAACAUCCAAUAACAAGUGUUGCACCCUAACAUUCUCCCCCUCAAAACUUGGAAUGAAUGACUCAACUUCAAUUUCCAAAAGGAGCAACAUUAAGAACAAGACCUCAAGUGUGACAAUUGUUAAUGCAAUCAAUAAAUCUUCAAUUCUUCAAUGAUCUUCUUAUCCAGAUUUUAGAAUGUGAGACAUUACAAUCAGAAGCAAUAAGAACCAAGAGGAAAUUUAAGGCCACGAGUAUCCAAAACCCAAGCCAAAUUACACAUCCUUGAGCUUAAAAGCACACCCCAAAAAAAUCUUCAUUAAGAUCAAACCCUUCCUAAAAACAAACCAUUUCAGAGUAAUGUGAUUUUUUAUGGGGAAAGAUGAGUUAUGUGAUUUUUUGCUUUCUUUUCUUCAAAGGAAUGGGGGUAAUUAUGUCUUUUUUGGUGAUUUUAAUGCAGUUAGAAAAGCUUAUGAAAUGUAUGGAUUGGUUUUAUGUCAUCUUUCUGCAAGUUCCUUUAAUGAUUUUAUUGACAAUUUGGGAGUUGUUGAUGUGCCUAUCACUAGGAAGCGGUUUACUAGAAUUAUGCUAUUGGAGCUAAAUUGAGUAAGCUCGAUCAUUACAUAGUUUCUGUGACAACACAAAAAUUUCUGUUAGUUUUAACGUCGAAAUUAAUUACGUCAAAAAUUAGCCAAAUUUAUCCCGAAAAUAUUUUUGACCGGAUUUAAACCCGUUGGAAUAAUUUAAAUAUUAUUCGUCAAGCGAACCAAAAUUAAGGCGGUAUAAUUUUAAAACUUGUCGUGAUUAACGAUAGUCGUGAAAAACCCCGUUCGCAGUUUGUGUCAGGUGAACCCCAACGAGGCCAUAAACUCCACCCUAUAUAAGGGUUGAGUGGGUUUCAUCCCCACCUUUUUCCCACCUUAGACUCUCUCUCUCUCUACUUUCUCUCUCUACAAAUCGGGUUUUGGUCAAAAAUCGCCCCUUCGAGCUUCAAAUUGGUAAGUUAACCUUCCUAGCUUGUGGUUUAUCUUAUCUAGCUUACAAAUUCGUGUUUAAAUUACCCAAAACCCUCAAGAACGUGAGUUUAUAGUCCAAGAACACCUUCUUGGACCGUAAACACUCAUAAAUGGGGUUUAAUGCUCAAAAACCCUUCCAAACCACUUAUGGAGCUUAGUUAUGACAUAGAGGCUUACAUGAAAGGACUUAGAACACCAAAAUCUUAGCAAAUGGGGAGUAAACAUGAGUUUACGGUCUAAGAAUAUUCUUAGACCGUAAACCCAUCUUCAUGGACCAUAAACACUUAUUUAAGUGUUAAACUAACCCUCAAACACCUCCAAAAGCUUCCAUGAGUGCCAAGAGCCUUGUAAUCCUUCGUUUGAUGCACCAAAAACAUGAUUCAUAGACCAACAUGAGUUUACUGCCAUAAACUCAUGUGUUUAAGGUAGUAAACUCCCUAAGAACAUCUUCAUAGACCGUAAACACCUUUCCAAGGUGUUUAAGUGCCUUUAACACCUUCCUAUGCUGACAUAAGUGACUAGAACCUUGCGUGCAUGAGUUAGAACCACCAAACAACAUAAGGAAUGGGCUAACAUGAGUUUACGACCGUAAACUCAUGUGUUUACGGCCGUAAACUCCUCAAGGAGUGGUCAUGAACCGUAAACUCCCUAAAAUGGUCCAUAUGAGGCCUUAAGCCCUAGAAUUGAACCUAGCCUAAUUCCACAAGUAUUAUAAGACCUUAAAGCAUCCAAGGACACACCACCCAUGAGUUUACGGUCGUAAACGCAUGGGGAUAAGGUCUUAAGGCCGUAAAUUCUAUAAAUAGUUUACUCUUGAAGAGUAAACUCCCUAACUAGGCCAUACACUCCCUUAGAUGUUACCCGGGACACUCCUAGCACUUGACCAAAGUGUUUUUCCGCUCAUUAGGCUGCGUAUACAUGUUUAAUUAGUAUUAUAAUUACUAAUUGUAUGUAAACAUAUGUCAUCAUAUGUUAAUAGGUCACUAAGUGUGUUCAAGUCUUCACUUGACACCGAGCACCCAACCGGCACCUCCGCCCGAUCCACUUACAACAGGUGAGUUCAUACCCCUGAAUUAACCUUUUUAAAUGUUUUUACAAGCUUUUAUGGGGGAAUACAAGUUAAAACAUGCUGGUUAUCAUAUCAAUCAUAUGUGAUUGAUAAACCGCAUGCAAAAGGAUUUAUCACACCUUCAGCUGUUUUACCAAGUAUAAUACUAUUGGUGGUUUUCCAAAACGUUUUUUUUUUAACCUUUUCUCAAAUUGUCUCUCGUGCUGUAUGUUUUACUUCAAAACCAGUUACAGCAGUAUUAUAAACAAAGGUUUUUAUUUACUUAUAUUGUUUUAUCAAAGUUAUAUUCAAAACUGUUUAUGAAAGGUUUUCAAAGGAUUUCCAAAGGUCUUCAAGCUUAUUUUACAAAAGGAUAUUAAGUCACAAUUUUCUUAAGUGUAAAGGUUUUCCAAAGUUUUCGUCAAAGUUUCCCCCAUGCUUCUAUGCUACUACUUCGAUAAAUGUUUCUACUUCGUUAAAUGCUUCUACUUCGUUAAAUGCAUGUCUGUACUUGUAUAGUUAUAUAAACAAUGUUUAAAGGACUUAGGAAGGCUAGUUCGCCCUAUUUCCUUUUCCUCGUUUGGAUGUGGUCUCGUGGGAUCGGAUAUCCGUCUGAAGGUCGUUUAAACAUUAAUUAUAUAUUAUGUAUACAUGUAUAGACAUAAAGGUUUACAUCGGCCAGUUCAUUUCCCUUGGGUAGCAAGGGCGUCCUCCUACUCGUCACUCAUAGAUCAGAGACACUAGUAACUAUUAUAGGAAUAGUUAGGAAUCUCUAUUUACUCAUUCUAGUACGCGAAUUCCAAAGGAGUCGGUUCAAUUGUGAGUCUCUAUCGUUAGUCCAGUACCUACAUCAAAGUUCACUAUACGGGAUGCAUCUUCAAGACACGGAUCUCCACGUCGCCGAGUUGGUAACCAGAGUCUCUUGUAGGGAGAGCGGGCAUUGUGUGUAUAGAUCUAUACGGGACUGACACUCCCGCACCCUGACUGCUAGCUACAGUCCACGGCCUACCAAGCCAAGGGGUGACAAAUGUCACAUCUAUUCCGACGCUUUCAGGGCGUCAAGUACUCUAGUGUCAAUCAGUAUGGUUACGAGUAUCUCCAUGUUUACCUUAUAAUUCAUGGCCUUAAGGUAACGAGAAUUAAUAUUGUAUUUCUGAAAACAACACUCUUAGGAUCACCCUUUGUUUUAGACCUUGCUAGCUGUAUCUUUCAUUUGAUACUGUCUGGGGUCUGUGUUCCUUUGUUUUAGACCUUGCUAGCUGUAUCUUUCAUUUGAUACCGUCUGGGGUCUGUGUUUCCUUUUGUUAGACUGAGCCAGGCGUAUCAUUCAUUCGAUACUCUCCUGGAGUCCAUGAUUUCUUUUCCUUAGUCAGCAGUAUUUUCUGCUGAGGCAUAUGUUAUUUUCCCCUAGUACCUUUACUAGUGAUAUUCUCCUACUUCUUUAAAGUCAAAUACCGUAUUUUGGUAAUGAUAGCAUUUCAGGGAAAAUUUCUCUUUAAAACAUAACACUGUCGAGUCUUGGUAGAAGACUGCUUUUAAUUAUAAAAUAUAUGAUUUUCUGGAAAGGACGCUAAUACACCGUAGAUUCUAAACUACUACUUUUUAUAAAGUUAUUUUGAAUAAAAAGCUUACUUACACAAAUGACACUAAAUACUUAUGAACUCACCAGCAUUUAUAAAAAUGAUGAUACUCGCUUUCAAAAUAACUUGUAUUCUCAGGUCAGCAAUAGACAGGUACACCCGGGAGCUUUUGUGAAGCCAGCCUAAAACCGAGUUGCAUCUAUAUUAGUUUCUGUAUUAUUUUGAUGUUUCUAUGUAAAACUAUUACUAUUAAUGCAAUGGUUGUUGUACUUUGAUUACUAUACUGCAUAUGUUGUGAUACUUGACAUGACGUCAUCCACCCCAGAACGUUUCCGCCGUUCCGGUUUUGGGGUGUGACAGAUUGGUAUCAGAGAAUUGUUUAUAGUGAGAUAAGUAUAUCAAUUCAUAAAAGAUAUACAACCUAUAAAUACAUAGGGAUAACACACUUUGACCAAGAAUUGUACUUUAAAAUAUAACUAUAUUUUACCAAAGUAUAAGAACAUCCAGAAUCUAAACACUUGAACAAAAGUAUCACAAGAAGAACAAGAAUAAAAGUCUUCGGAUGUUGAGCAUUACCGUCAAACCUGGGCAGUUAUCUAAUCGUAAGCUGGAAUAAAUGUAACCUGAUCAACUACAUUUAUUCGAGAUGCGAUGAACGUGUGCUUGGGAGUGAUAGUGGUGUUGCAACAGGUCUGAAACUUACCAACUAGGAAUGCUAGAGCCAAACAUAAAGUUUAAAAUACUAUGGGAGUAUUUUGGAAUACUAAAAGACUCACAUUAAUCCUAGAAUCAUAUUCGGAAGAUAAGAAACAAACAAGAAAUUAAAAUACCAUAGGGGUAUUUUAGGAUCCAUAGAUAACCUUGCGUGAAGAACUAAAAAGAUCCUUAUUGAUAUACCUACAAUUACAGAGGGUAUACUCCCAAGGUUAUAUAUAUAAUAAGGAUCCCAUAGGCUAAGAAUGUGUGGUUUCGCUCUACUUCCUUUUCCUUGUUGAGAUGUGGAUAUAGAGUAGUAUCACAUAUUCGAAGGCAUGUCGGAUCUAAGCUAUAUAUGAUUUGUGUACCCUAUGUAAUCGUAGCAGGACUCGAUAUGGAUCACCUAGUGAAAUGUUAAUAAUCUCUUAGGAUUCUUUAGACAUUUCCAUUCUCGCACGAACCCUGUAGAAAACCGUAUCCACUUCGGUACUCAACGGAAGAGUUGAUUCAGACCCAGAAGAGGUUCAUUCAGAAGAAUUCUAGUUCGGAAAUAAAUGAACUAGGUCGAGACUAUUGAAAUCACCAAGUGUCUAUAUCUUUUUAGGGACAUCCGUGAGAAAUUCGCCUAAAAUUGCGAGAUUUCCAGUCAUCCAUCAUGAAGUGAUGACACCCAGAUUCGGAAUCAGAAGUAAGAUGGAGUAGAAAUUCAAUAUGUCUAUAGGAGAAGAGAACCCUAGGUAACUAUCCGAAGGAAACCAACGCCGGUCCCAGUCAAAGAUACGAGCUAGACAGAGGGAGCUAGUACAUGGAACCUGAGAAGUGUCUUUUCCUCAUGUUCGUCACGCUAAUACACCCAUAAAAUAAUACAAUCUAGUGAGUUAGUGAUUACACUACUCACACUAUGUGUUAGGUAAAUCGCCUUUUCCCGUCGCAAUUAAUACGAUUAGAUCGGAUCUCAAAACCUUGAUUGAGAAUGUUUAGCCAUAAGUCUUCAUGAGCCUUUUCUUCUGUGAUUUCGUUCCGAACUACCCUCAAAUCUUUCCAAGCCGGAGAGUGAACCUUUCCCAGUAUAAAGGUAACUUAGUAGGAACGACUUCCACCUCAUGGCUUUCCGAUACUCAUACUCCUACCUUGAAUACCCGGACUACAUCAUAGGGAUGUAGGUCGACACUCAGACAACAAAUAUCCGAGGCGCGGGAAAAAUUUAUGCCUAAUAUAGUAAGGAUAGAUACGUCCAAGGUUAACCAUCGUCUCUCACCAGCUGUGUUCCUUUCCGUGUAGGAAAAACCAUGCCUCCAAAGAAGCGUAACCAAUCCACUGGCAAGAAACUAACUCUCCUACUCGAUGAAGCUACGUUCCAAGCUGCAAUCUCGGCAGCCAUAGCAACUGUCAUGGCUCAACUGAAUGCUAACAACGCCAAUGUUAGCAAGAGCCCUAUCAGGAAUUCCGAUCCAAGCAAUGGACAGCAACAACCAACCUCGGUGUACCCAGCCACCCAAGAACCUCAACCAAAUCCACUGAAGAGAAAGUUCAAGAUCGAGGAGGGAAGUACCUCGGCACAAGGACCUUCCGAAGGGCAACGAGCUGAGACAGUCAAUACCCCUGCCAGCCCUUCUAUCCCGACUUCAAUAAGACCAUACCUAGGAAACCUUCCCCACUGCAGCAAGGGUAGCUACCAUCAUUAUGGUAUAUGCCGGGAACUCUUUUGUGCUAGGUGCAACAUGAAGGGGCAUACUGCUUGCGUCUGCAGAACCCCGGUUGAGUUUAUUACAUCAACCACCAAUGUGGCGACCCGUACAGUUUUCCACCUAUGUGGUGAAAUGGGACACUUCAAGAAGGACUGCCCAACAAAAGGGAAAGACAAAGACACAGGAGGAGUCUAACUCUAAUGCUUAGGGAGAAGCAUCAAGGAACCCGGUAGAUUUUUGGUACGUCUCUCAAUCUCAGAUAACUAACCGAAAACAUUAAAAGGCUAAUUCUAAAUGUAAAUACUUCCCCGUUAAGGCGAAAGUCGCAGCACUGUUAUAAAAUUUAAAAUUUCAUCAGGUAAAACUAUAAUGGCUAAAUAUAUACGUUACGGCCAUGUAUAAUUGAGAUGGAUAGACCUAGAGUGAGUGAAUGCCGCCUCAUUUCCUGUUCCUCGUUUGGUUGUGGAUUUAGGGCGGAGUCGCUCAGUCAACAGUCCUCCCCACCUUAAUUAUACAUGACUAGUAUAUGUUAGGUGAUUAUAGAAAGGCCUCGUGAGAAUCAAUUCAUGAAAGGUACCCUAUUCAGAAAACACUCAGGACCCUCUAUAGUUCCGCGUUGAUUCUAUCGGUCCAAGUAUCCGGGGCAGUGAUACACGGGACGAAACCCGAGACGCCUAGAACUUGUGUGCCCGUUCGGCACAUGAAUCUAUCAACCCUCAUUCUAUAUCAUGUCGAAGUAUGCCAACUUCGACGCCUCUAUCAAUCAUGGUUUGACUUCGUGCAACCAUGUGUAACUCCCUAGUGCUGUGUAAAAAGAACUUUCACCGUAGCCAUUUCGGUAGAUAAAGGUUCUUCCGAACCUAAACAAAAUAAAAAUAAUAAAGACUAAUGCGAUCCGUCAUUCAUCACUAUUGUUUCAAACCUUCCAAAGUACCCAGGAGAAGGGUACCGCGCGCUGUUAACCAACCCUUCUUAGACAGAAAGAAACCGAAGCGAAAGGCACUGCAGGCAUUUCAAAAGGCGAUAACCACCCGAAACCUACUACGUAGAUCCCCCAGAAAGACCCUUCGCACCUAGCAAUCAGGUUCGUGAAUCAAGAUGGAACUCAUGGGACUGACCACUAUAACUGAGUAUAUGCAUAAGGGUGGUAUAUAAUUGAGAUCAAAAAGAUUUAAGAUGUGUGCUUCCUCCCUACUCCCUGUUCCUCGUUGGGUUGUGGGUCUGGGGUGGAGUCGCACAACUAAACAUCCUGCCGUCCUCAAUUAUAUACGGCUUGCAUACACCAAGUAUUAAUCGUUAAGCCAAGUAUGAGCUCUACCACGAACCUCAUAGUAAAACCCUUCAUCCUAUCCCACGAAAUGGGAGCUAGAGUCAAGAGAACCCCUGCGGGUUGAGCUACUAUAAUGACUACAAAUCCGAAGUUAAUUGUCAUUCCGGUUAAUCCAACAUAGUAGCUAACACCCUCGGUUGGUAAAGAAAUCUGAGUCGUAAGAGUCAAGGACAUUGACUACGACCAUCCACUCACGCUUAAUCCCCCGAAGUAAGCAUCUCAGCAGAUAUCCCGGAAAUCCGGAAGCUGCGAUAAGUUAAACUCUGAGAAGAGUGGAUGAGGAGAUUAAAGUUCCGAGUGAUGGAACCCUAUACUCACUAGAUUUGACCUAGAUUGAGGAAACUCAUAGUCUUUGGAAGAGUAGUUGCUGAAGAUGUUCGCACUACUCAGGCACUUCGUCCACCCUGUUAAUGACAAGUAGUGCCUAGGACCCUCCGCCCUCUCACAGGGAGGAAAUCAACGUCGCCCAGUAGACGAUAGACUGCAUUCUCCGAAGUGAACACUAGAAUACCGAGGACCACAUGAUAACCUCCGCAGCCAAGAAUACAUGAAUAAAGUGCGAAAGUAGGUGAUGUUAAGCCUUAUAACCAAGAUCCCGAAGAGAUUAUAGACUUGACACCAGUCUAGGUGUUAGUCGAGGGGUUAUACAAGAGCACGCGCUUUUUGCAACUGAAAUAGACUGUCACCUUAGAGAAUAGGGUUUGUCCUAUUUUGUUGCAUAUUAAUUUGGUGGAUUAUGGUCCUUCUUCUUUUAAAAAAUUUAAUUCUUGGUUUAUAACCGGAAGGUUUUGAUGAUGUUGUUAGAGGGGUCGUCUCGAGGUAUGUAUUUGAUCCGGGUUAGAGAAAAUUUGUUUUAUUUAAAAAACAAGAUUAAGCUUAUUAAAUCUAAAACUAGGUGACGUUGCGAAGAUGGAAAAAAUUAAAUCCUUGGAUGGUGCUCAAAAAGCUAAGGUGAACUGGGCAAUUGAGGGGGAUGAGAACUCAGCGUUUUUUCAUGGUAUGUUGAAGAAAGGAAGACGCCAAAAGUUGAUUAGAUGUAUUUCUAUUGAUGGGGAGUGGAUUUCCGACCCGAAUGCUGUUAAAAAAAGCAUUUUUUUAUGCUUCUAAAUUCCAACCAUUUCAUGGUAUUUCCUUAUCUAGGCAAAGUCGGAGACUUUGAAGUAUUGAUCUGGAUUAGCUCUUUCUAUUAAGUCUCCCUUUAUAGUUGAAGAAAUAAAAAAAAUGCAGUAUGGGAUUGUGGUGUGGAUCAUGUGUCGGAUCUGUUUUCUUAUAUAUUUUGGAAGUUGUUGGGUAAUGAUGUUAUUGAUUUUGUGUAGGAGUUCUUUACUAGGCCAUCUUUCCCCCUUGGAUGUAACUCCUCCUUUAUUACGGUUAUCCCAAAAGUUGAUAACCAUAUUCUAAUUACUGAUUAUCUUUCUAUUAGUCUUAUUGGUUUGUAGUUUAAGUAAUGGCUAAUAGAUUAGCUCAUGUGCUUCAUGAUGUCAUUGGCUUAGAGCAAACAGUUUUUCUCAAAGGUCGUCAAAUUCUGGAUGGGCCUCUAAUGGUAAAUGAGUUGGUUCGGUGGUUUAAAAAUAAAAAGAAAAAGGUUAUGAUCUUCAAAGUCAAAUUUGAGAAAACUUAUAACUCUCUUGGGAAUAUUUAGAUAAAAAAAAAUUAUUUAUAGGUUUUGGAGAUAGAUAUCUUGAAUUUGUGUUAUGUUUUCAAAUGCUAGAUCUCCAAUUUUACGGGCAUCCUACGAAUGAGUUUCAGCUUCUUAGGGGUUUGCGCUAUAGAGAUCCCAUUUUUCCUUUUCAUUUUAUCAUUGUUAUUGAAGGUCUCCAUGUUAUAAUGGAGGAUGUUGUAGCUUAUGUUGUGUUUCAUGGUGCAUCUCAUGGAUUUGAUGAGGUUCUUACUUCCCAUUUAUUUUUAUGCAAAUGAUGUUUUGUUUUUGGGAGAAUGGGAUGAAUUAAAUGUCCAUAAUCUUAUUCGCACUCAAAGGUUAAUCUAAUUUAUAUGGAGUUGGUAUUACGGAUUCCAAGAUUGCUCCUUUGGCGUUUCUCUUGAUCUUGAUACCAGCUUUUUUGAAAGACAAGAAAUGUGGCAAAGCCGAUUGCAAUUUUGUUGCAUUAUGAAGGUGAGAAUUAAAACUCACGAAUAAUAAUAAUAAUAUAACUUUUAUUUUUUUCAACAUCAUCUCCCUAUACUAAUAAAAAAGUAGUUCUUUUGUCAUGUGUCACCAUGUUAGGCAUUGUAAUAAAUAUCAUGACACUUGUCAAUCUAUUGACAAUUGAUUAAUAUUAUGACACUUAUCAAUCUAUUAAUUCUCCAUUUUAAAUCUCAAAUUAGUAAUUUGUAAUAAAUAGUUUUGAGUUUUUUACUUAGAAAGUUUAAUUAAUUUUCUAACCNUAUAUAUAUAUAUAUAUAUAUAUAUAUAACUAAAAAAAUAUCUUUUAAUUAAUAAGUUAUUUAAAAUUAUUAAUUAAUAAUUUUAAGUUUUUACUUAGAAAGUUUAAUUAAUUUUCUAACCGUGGUUCUCACAGGUUAUAAACUAGUUUUUAAAUAAAGAUGUGAUGAAACGGUUUAUGUUGUAUGUUAAAUGUAUGAGCCUUUGAAUGGAAUUUAUGGAGAUGGUGCACAUUCAAAUUAUGGUUUUAUUACAGUCUUGAUAAACGAUAGUGUAUUUGGACUCCAAGCAUGUAAAUAUGAUAUUAGCAACAUGUACAUGUUUUACCUUUAAAAAAAUUUAUUUACUGAACCAUUAAUUAUCUACUGAACCAUUAAAAAAAUUGAUCUACUGAACCAGUAAAAAUUUUUAUCUACUGAACCAUUAAAAUUUUAUCUAUUGAACCAUUAAGAGCAUGUUUCAUUUUCCUCCUUUUAACUGUUGUUCGACAAAAAAAAAUGUUGUCAUAUAUAUAAUAUUAGAGAAAACUAUGUCACAGUCGGUGAAAUAAAAGAAAAAUAUGUAAAGAUAAAUUUAUAAAUGGGACUUCAUGGGAAAGUUCAAUUUUUGAUUCUUUUUCUCCAAAGAUUGGUCGUUUGUGGACAGUUGGAAGUAUACUAAUGGAUGGACCAUAUUGACAUUAUUAUGAAUAGAUAAGAUUCUAUUUAGAAUGAGUUGUCAUAUGACAAAUAUGGAAAUGUUUCCAUAUUGGGAGUUGGAUAUCGAGAAUCAAUGUCUAGAUUAGAAACUUUUAUGCAAGAAGGAUGUUCAAAGGAAUGUACUUUGAAUAUGAGACUUCAUGACUAUGGAAUUGUCUUGUAAUAAUCUCCAAUAGAUCCCUUUGUAAUUUCAUUGGCAAAGUCUUGGUGUUUUUGGCGCUAUGAUAUUACGAAAUGACGUUGCAUAAAAUGUUAGAAUCUAAAAUAUUUUAUAAGUGGUAAGAAUUUGGUAUUCUCACACUUGUGGUAAGGAUUGGGAAUUGUGAAAUUAGUGUGAUUGAAAAUGUUAUUCAAUUAUACUAUUUCACAAAGUAAGGAUCGUAGGUAAACAUAAUGUGCAUGCUAAGAGCAUGGGACAAUUGUUGUUAUAAUUCAAAUAAGAAGUUGAUUACCCGAAACAACAAAUAAUGAGUAAUCAAUAUGGUGAUUAAAUAAAAGGUGUUUUAUUUAUACUUAAAAGUUUAGGGCCAUAUAGGAUUAGUGUUAUUCUUGUGUUUCACUUUGCAUGUUUUGACUUCCCGAAUAAUAAGAUUAUUCAAAUGCUCCACAGUCGCUCUUUCUUUAGAAGUAGGAAUGAAAGAAGACUGUUAUGAAUCUGUCUGUAGAUUGUCUAAAAUGUUUAGACAUAUGACAAGUUUGCUGCAGAAUUCAUGUGCGUUGCUAUAAGAUUAGAGUAUUGGAUUAAACUCAUGCUCACUUGGAUCGAUUCAUGGAUUUUAUCAUGAGUGAUUGGUGAGAAGAUAAUAUCUUAUAACUUGAAACCGAGAUGUGUGAGUUGUAUCUAACAAGUCGGUUACACGUUGAUAAUAUGUAAACGCAUCAGUAACUUGGUGUUAUAAAACGUAUUGUUGUGUAUGAUUCGGUGAAUGAGUACAAGCGAGCAUUGAGUCGAAGUUUACAUGUUUCUUUUACCCAAAGUGGGAUAAAAGUGAUAUAUGUGGGCCCCUCGAUGAUUUAAUGAUGACACCCUAAGCACUUGGCCAAGCCGGGACUAAUUUAAUGUGUUCAAUUAUAGUAUGUUGUCAGUUGUCAUAAAUCGAAAAUCGAAAAACAACACAUGAACAGAGAGUAUGAUUAAAAUUCAUGUCUCAGUUCAUACGAUAUUUAGAACCCAACCCAAUUGUCAGGCCUAUUGGCGUUUCUCUUGAUCUUGAUGCCAACUUUUUUGAACGACAAGAAAUGUGGCAAAGCCGAUUGCAAUUUUGUUGCAUUAUGAAGGUGAGAAUUAAAACUCAAGAAUAAUAAUAAUAAAUAUAACUUUUAUUUUUUCCAACAUCAUUUUUAAAUAAAGAUGUGAUGAAACGGUUUAUGUUGUAUGUUAAGUGUCCGAGCCUUUGAAUGGAAUUUAUGGAGAUGGGGCACAAUCAAAUUAUGGUUUUAUUACACUCUUGAUAAACAAUAGUGUAUUUGGUAAAAGAAAAACAUGUAUAUCUCUUAUUGGAUUAAUCAUGUAAUUUUUAAGUUCAUUAACUAAAAAAGAAACUUCAUUGACACUUUACAUUAUAUGAGAAUAAGAUUGCUACAUGGUAUGAUUUUGCAUAGUUUUUACUUUUGAAAAUAACACCAUAGUUUGAAAUUU